CAAUCUCCAGUGCCCUUUCUCUUCUGAUCUCUUCCCUUUGAUUCUCUUCAGCAUCUUCAUAGCCAGACGGCAAUGGCUAGCGCGAGCAACGCAGCUGGGAGCUCGAACAGCCCACGAUCGUUUUGGAAGCAUUAUGAGAAGAAUGAACAAAAACAGGGAUUCGCGUUUGCCAAAAUAGUGUAGGUGUGGGUCGAGACCAGUGCUGCGAUGGUCAACGAUGGAUUCUAAUCUAGGGAGACCGUUCGUGGGUUGCCCAAACUACAAUGUAAGUGGUUGUUGUUGUUGUUUGCUGUAAUUCUGGAUAUAAACUUGGUUGAUUCACUUUCUUGGGUGCAAACUGUAGGUAAACUUGGUUGAUUCACUUUCUUGGGUGCAGAUUGUAGGUAAGAGGUGGUGUGGAUUGUUUCUGUGGGUAGAUAAAAUUCUUGAAGAAGAUGUGAUAACAUGUGAUGGUAAAACAAGCCCUUCAAUUGACAAUGAAAAAUGAAAGAUGAAGAUUGCUUGAAAACUUAAAAGAUUAGAGUCUGAAGUUAGGGUUCUAAAAGUGGGUGGAGUUUUGGUGUUUGUAUUUAUACUGCUAAUUACAGUAGCUGUUCUUCUCUUAAAGUUAGAUAGGCAAUUUGGCCAAUUGUAUCUGGCAAAAAAUAAAUGACAUGCAUAUGUUAUUCCUGUAGUUGUAUCUGUCAGUUUGUUUAAAAGAAAUACAAAUUAAAGUGUUUGACACUGCUGUGCUUGCAUAUUUUGAAAAUUGAAGAAACAAUAUGAACUACUAAUAUAUUCAUCCAAAAUAUAAUUCUUGUAAAUAAAAUGGAAAUAGACAGUGUUUGGAAUGCAUCUUAAUUGCAUAUAUGAGGAUAAAAUAAAACUAAAAAUCUGACAUAGAUCAAUUCAAGAAAGUCAUAAUUCAUGUUUCAUGAUGUAGAAAAUACAUCCAAAAUAAGAUAUUAUAAAGUCAGAACAAUAGUCACCAAGUAAUCAGAGUUGUCAAAACAUAAGUCUGAUAAGUUUCUAACACUAAAAUCUCCAACACUGAGAUCCUAAUUAAGAAAGCAUACAAAGUAAAUUCCUUCACCAAAACAGACAAACAAAAACACCAUCUGUCCCUAAAGAUAAUAAUCUAAGUCAUUCAUUCUUGGUUCUGGGUGGCUUGAAUCCAAGACUAGGCACAAAUCUCAUUAUGCUUGCUGGUUGAGUGCUUGCUGGUAGAAUGCUUGCAGAUGGAGUGCUGGUUGGUUGGAUGGUAGCAGCUGGUGUGCUUGAGUUGUAGACCUUGCACACUCCCAAAGUAAACCUCUAAGCUAAUUAUUCUUUCACUGUUUGUUGAAGUUCCUCUAUAAAUGCCAAACACAGAAUUUGUGAUGGACAUUUGGGAACAUAUCCUGAACUGCAUGGAUAAGUCCCUGCAUAACCAAAAAUGCCAAUACAAAAGUUUAUAAUUGAGCCUCAAAAAGGUCCCUCGUGUUGUAUUAAUGAACUCAGAAUGGUCCCUAAAGUUGUGUAAGUGACAUCACAUUGGUCCCUCAACAGAAUAAACAGAUACUACCCGUAUAUAACAACCAUCAACUAUGUAGCAUCCAGUUUAUACAACAACUACUCAAUUGUUCUAAAUAGCAGUAAACAGAUUUACUACUCAACACACAUAUAUAACAAUAAACAACAAUAAUUAAGAUAUCUAACAAUAAACAACAGUAAAAGGAUUUACUACUCAGCAAUUAUAUCACAUAAUCUUUGAUUACUACCAUUAAUUUUGGUGGUGGAUUGGGCUUAGUAUUAGGAGUAGCCGUGGUUUGUGCCAUUGUUUUUGGUGGUGGGGUGAGAUUAGUAGUAGGAGUAGCAGUAGGUGUUGCCAUUUUUUUUUAUGGUGAUUUGAAAUUACUAAUAGAAGUUGCAGUAGGUUAAGUCUUAUGUUUUAGUCCUGAAAUACCUUUACUAGCAGGCUUAGUUGUGGGGAUUAUUGUUGGAGUAGGAAUGGUGGUGUGUAUUGAUUCUGAAAUUGGAAUUAGUGGUAAUGUGGUGAGAAUUAUUUUGGAGCUAGUGGUGUGAAUUGGCUCUAAUAUUGGAGUUGAUGGUGAUGUGGUGAAAAUUGUAUUGGUUGUGACAUUGAUGGUGGGGUAUGGAUGUGGAAUAAGGUCUUGUAGCACUAUUAACUCCUUGUCUUUGGAUGAUGAUGGUUCUGCUUCCUCAUUAAACACAAGUUCAGAGACUCCAUGUUCAUAGUACACAUGGAUAACUUCCUUGUUCUUCUGAGCUAGGUAACACAUCUCCAUGAACUCUUUGUCAUGUGUCAUAGCUCUAAGACCAGUUUGCAAUGAUCUAUUAGGCACCAGCCACCAACAGUGAAUCACAUUGUCAUACCCAAUGUUCUUGUAGUAGUCUUGGACAAAAAAUACAUCCAGUGUGUCUAUGUCAAUUCUCGGCAACUCAGAAAUCUGUCCACCAUUAUAAUUCACACUUCCAUCACGCUCUGUAAUAAAUGACCCUCCAUAGUGAAAUAUGAUGAUAAUCAAAAGAUCAUUUAUCUGCAAUUUAUAAACAAAAUUUCAUGAUCAAACUUAUCAUCUUCAACCACAUUAACAAAUUGAAAACUUCACAACUAAAACAUAAAAUCAUGUUUACUCCUGUAAAUGCAGUAAACCCUAUAACAGAUAAGAAACAUGUUUUCACCAUGACAAACAACCCUUAUCCAAUCAACAAUUUCAUUAGUCUAACUACUCAGAAAGCUAGUUGCGAUCAAACCCUAGCAAACAUUGUGAAACACAAACAUGCAUACCUACACAUUACACUCCAAAAAAUUGUUUCUAACUAUUAAAGAUAUUAAACUAACGACAAUAACAAAAAACAGAGCACACCUAUUAUCACAUAAUUUUUUUUUCUUUUUUUUUUCUUUAUCUCUUUCAGAAAAAUCAGCAUUCAAUACAGUCUUUGUCUGAUGCAAAUGACGAAAUCGAUCCUCUAGAGCAGUUGUGUUCCAACGAAAUCGCUGCAAUUACAACAAUCACACCACCGCCAUUAAUGAGUAUAGGGGAGAAGAAAAGACUCUGUUUAUGUUGUAUUUUGAGAGGGGGAAGACAAUACGUUACAUUAAUGUUUGAGAGAGGAUUCUUCAAAAGCAAGUUUGGAGUGAAACGACGGCGUUUUAGAGCAUUUACGCGCCACUAGCAAUAUUAUACGUCGUUUUAGCGUCGCCAAUGUGUCACCCUGUUGUUCAUAUCAACUUUCCGAUAACACCAGCUAUAGAGAAUGUGCCGGAAGGAUGAUACUGAGUUCCAGAGUGUAACUUCAUGGACUAAUAUGAAUAACUAUUAAAUUCAAAAACUACUAUAAAAUACGAGUAGAACUUCAAAAACCACUUUGAAACUUAUCUCAUAUUAUGACCUAUUAUACAACUAGUUAAUAAUUACUCCGUCUUAUAUGUAUAUGAAGGUAAAAUGGCGGAACUACCAUAUAUAUGCAUGGAUACAUAGGUGGGGACAGAAGUGAUUGCAAUGCAUUGUACCAAGGGCGUUAUUGAAUUAAUGAAAGGAAAAUAACAUUAAAAAAGAGUUAUGAAUAAUAAUUGAUGGAUAGGAAAUAAAUGGUGUGAUAAUAAUGUUACAGUAAGAUACAGCUGCCUGUGUCUGUGUUUCUCCGCCGUCCCGUACCUAAAAUUGCACAAACAAGUUAGGUUUGCAAUACAUACAUAGAUUAUAGAUAUAUGUAUGAACCACACUAGCUACUAUCUAAUCUACUACUACUACUACACUAUGUGCUGUGUUUUGUGUCUGCAUGUAUGUCAGUAUCAGCCUCAAUUUUGGACAAGAUCAUUAAUCCCAUACUUCUUGCUUUUUCAACUACCAACGAUUUUCCAAUCAUGCCUUAGCUUGCUUCCUUAUAUAUUUCCCCUAAAAUAUAUGCAAAUACUCGCAUACACUAACUUUUACACUAUCUUCUUGUUUUUUAUGUUCAAAAUGUUAUUUAUUAUUUAUUUUAACUAACCUAUAAUUUUAUUUCUAUGUUAUGUUAUCGUUGGCUUUUUAAGAUAUUGUUGAGACUUGUUAUGUCAUUGUUAAUUAUUUAAAAUUUGAUGUUGAGACUUGUUAUAUGUAUUUAAUGUUUUUAAUUUACAAAAUCGCAAAUCCAAUUUAAUUCAAACCGCUUGAAAUUGGAUCGGAUCGGAUCGAAUUUUUUUAAAAACAUCAUCCAAUCCAAAUCGUACCGCAAGUAAAAUUAGCAUUCGAAUCGGAUGAGUUUUUGACUCAAAACCGAUCCAAACCGCACCGCGAACACCCCUACUACUACCGGUCUAUUUUAUUAUCUUACAUUGAAAUUAAAAUUUACUUUUACUUUUAAAAUAUACGUAAAUAAUAAUAAUAGUCAAUGCAAACUCAGCUCGUUCUUUUAGAUAGCUACUAGAAUUUUGCUAAUAACUAAAAUUACGUACAUUUUUAACAAAUUUGUUAAUUCAUACAAAAUAUCUUGUCAGUUAUAAAUCUUAACGGAAGAAUGAAAAAGAAAAGAAAAGAAAAUCUCUAUUGACUUAACUAUCUGAUCCAUUAAUUAAAUAGAGGGAGUAUGAGUGAUAAUUGAAGCUGAGACUAUGAAUAAUAUUAACGGUAAUAUUAAGAAGAUAAAAACAUAAGAUUGAGAAGAUAAGGUAAGAGAUGAGGGAGAUGAUAGAUAUAUAAUUUAUGAAAAAUGAAAUAUGUGGAAUGAUGAGAUAUUUGUUUGCAUAAAUUAAAUNNNNNNNNNNNNNNNNNNNNNNNNNNNNNNNNNNNNNNNNNNNNNNNNNNNNNNNNNNNNNNNNNNNNNNNNNNNNNNNNNNNNNNNNNNNNNNNNNNNNNNNNNNNNNNNNNNNNNNNNNNNNNNNNNNNNNNNNNNNNNNNNNNNNNNNNNNNNNNNNNNNNNNNNNNNNNNNNNNNNNNNNNNNNNNNNNNNNNNNNNNNNNNNNNNNNNNNNNNNNNNNNNNNNNNNNNNNNNNNNNNNNNNNNNNNNNNNNNNNNNNNNNNNNNNNNNNNNNNNNNNNNNNNNNNNNNNNNNNNNNNNNNNNNNNNNNNNNNNNNNNNNNNNNNNNNNNNNNNNNNNNNNNNNNNNNNNNNNNNNNNNNNNNNNNNNNNNNNNNNNNNNNNNNNNNNNNNNNNNNNNNNNNNNNNNNNNNNNNNNNNNNNNNNNNNNNNNNNNNNNNNNNNNNNNNNNNNNNNNNNNNNNNNNNNNNNNNNNNNNNNNNNNNNNNNNNNNNNNNNNNNNNNNNNNNNNNNNNNNNNNNNNNNNNNNNNNNNNNNNNNNNNNNNNNNNNNNNNNNNNNNNNNNNNNNNNNNNNNNNNNNNNNNNNNNNNNNNNNNNNNNNNNNNNNNNNNNNNNNNNNNNNNNNNNNNNNNNNNNNNNNNNNNNNNNNNNNNNNNNNNNNNNNNNNNNNNNNNNNNNNNNNNNNNNNNNNNNNNNNNNNNNNNNNNNNNNNNNNNNNNNNNNNNNNNNNNNNNNNNNNNNNNNNNNNNNNNNNNNNNNNNNNNNNNNNNNNNNNNNNNNNNNNNNNNNNNNNNNNNNNNNNNNNNNNNNNNNNNNNNNNNNNNNNNNNNNNNNNNNNNNNNNNNNNNNNNNNNNNNNNNNNNNNNNNNNNNNNNNNNNNNNNNNNNNNNNNNNNNNNNNNNNNNNNNNNNNNNNNNNNNNNNNNNNNNNNNNNNNNNNNNNNNNNNNNNNNNNNNNNNNNNNNNNNNNNNNNNNNNNNNNNNNNNNNNNNNNNNNNNNNNNNNNNNNNNNNNNNNNNNNNNNNNNNNNNNNNNNNNNNNNNNNNNNNNNNNNNNNNNNNNNNNNNNNNNNNNNNNNNNNNNNNNNNNNNNNNNNNNNNNNNNNNNNNNNNNNNNNNNNNNNNNNNNNNNNNNNNNNNNNNNNNNNNNNNNNNNNNNNNNNNNNNNNNNNNNNNNNNNNNNNNNNNNNNNNNNNNNNNNNNNNNNNNNNNNNNNNNNNNNNNNNNNNNNNNNNNNNNNNNNNNNNNNNNNNNNNNNNNNNNNNNNNNNNNNNNNNNNNNNNNNNNNNNNNNNNNNNNNNNNNNNNNNNNNNNNNNNNNNNNNNNNNNNNNNNNNNNNNNNNNNNNNNNNNNNNNNNNNNNNNNNNNNNNNNNNNNNNNNNNNNNNNNNNNNNNNNNNNNNNNNNNNNNNNNNNNNNNNNNNNNNNNNNNNNNNNNNNNNNNNNNNNNNNNNNNNNNNNNNNNNNNNNNNNNNNNNNNNNNNNNNNNNNNNNNNNNNNNNNNNNNNNNNNNNNNNNNNNNNNNNNNNNNNNNNNNNNNNNNNNNNNNNNNNNNNNNNNNNNNNNNNNNNNNNNNNNNNNNNNNNNNNNNNNNNNNNNNNNNNNNNNNNNNNNNNNNNNNNNNNNNNNNNNNNNNNNNNNNNNNNNNNNNNNNNNNNNNNNNNNNNNNNNNNNNNNNNNNNNNNNNNNNNNNNNNNNNNNNNNNNNNNNNNNNNNNNNNNNNNNNNNNNNNNNNNNNNNNNNNNNNNNNNNNNNNNNNNNNNNNNNNNNNNNNNNNNNNNNNNNNNNNNNNNNNNNNNNNNNNNNNNNNNNNNNNNNNNNNNNNNNNNNNNNNNNNNNNNNNNNNNNNNNNNNNNNNNNNNNNNNNNNNNNNNNNNNNNNNNNNNNNNNNNNNNNNNNNNNNNNNNNNNNNNNNNNNNNNNNNNNNNNNNNNNNNNNNNNNNNNNNNNNNNNNNNNNNNNNNNNNNNNNNNNNNNNNNNNNNNNNNNNNNNNNNNNNNNNNNNNNNNNNNNNNNNNNNNNNNNNNNNNNNNNNNNNNNNNNNNNNNNNNNNNNNNNNNNNNNNNNNNNNNNNNNNNNNNNNNNNNNNNNNNNNNNNNNNNNNNNNNNNNNNNNNNNNNNNNNNNNNNNNNNNNNNNNNNNNNNNNNNNNNNNNNNNNNNNNNNNNNNNNNNNNNNNNNNNNNNNNNNNNNNNNNNNNNNNNNNNNNNNNNNNNNNNNNNNNNNNNNNNNNNNNNNNNNNNNNNNNNNNNNNNNNNNNNNNNNNNNNNNNNNNNNNNNNNNNNNNNNNNNNNNNNNNNNNNNNNNNNNNNNNNNNNNNNNNNNNNNNNNNNNNNNNNNNNNNNNNNNNNNNNNNNNNNNNNNNNNNNNNNNNNNNNNNNNNNNNNNNNNNNNNNNNNNNNNNNNNNNNNNNNNNNNNNNNNNNNNNNNNNNNNNNNNNNNNNNNNNNNNNNNNNNNNNNNNNNNNNNNNNNNNNNNNNNNNNNNNNNNNNNNNNNNNNNNNNNNNNNNNNNNNNNNNNNNNNNNNNNNNNNNNNNNNNNNNNNNNNNNNNNNNNNNNNNNNNNNNNNNNNNNNNNNNNNNNNNNNNNNNNNNNNNNNNNNNNNNNNNNNNNNNNNNNNNNNNNNNNNNNNNNNNNNNNACCUAUAUAUAUAUAUAUAUAUUUCCAGCAAAAAACACUUGUGAAAUUCAUACAAUAAUAUACAUAUUCUAUGAUGCACAGACACCUACACGGACACGGGGUACGACACGAUAUGAGACACGUCGACAUGCGAAUUUUAAAAUCUUACAUGACACGGAGAUACGCAUACAUAUAAAAUAUAAAGUAUUUUUUAGAUAAAUCGUAAUAAUAUUUUGUUAUUUUAUUGAUAUUAAAAUAUAAAUUAAAAUUUUUAAUUAUUUUUAAUGUCUUAUUUUAAUUAUAUCAAGUAUUUAAAAUAUUUUUUGUUUUAAUAAAUAAUAAUACAUACUAUAUCUAAAUUUAUUUUAAGAAUAUAUAUUAAGAAUAAGACUGGACACACGGACACGUGAUAAUACUUAGAUGUGUUCAAGCGUGUCUGAAAAAAAAUUUUUUAUUUUUUAUUAAGACACGGUUGAACACAGCAGACAGGUGUAUCGAACGAGUGUCGAAAACAUCGUGUGUAAAAUGUGUCUGACACGCGGACACAGUGACUUAUCCAUGCUUCGUAGCAUGCAUUGCUUUCUGUAAAUAUAUAUACAUAUACCAUUUAAUGACCUCUUUACUCAUAAUAAGUUGCUUGGUUUUUUUUUGCUUUCUUUUUUACGAUAUUGACUCCAAAUAUGUAAAUAAUUUGAUUCCAAAAGACUGGAAAUUUUUAGCAUAAGUUUUUCAUCUCAAUAAAAUUAUUUUACUUAAUGGUUAACCAUUUUUGUGUGAUUUAUUUACAUUCUUUUCCUAUAUUGUGUGUGUAUAUAUAAUUGACGCGUAUUUUUUGAUUUAUUAAGUAUUUAUAUAAAUACUUCAAAUUACAUCGACAACAAUGUAUAUAAUUUAAAAUAAUAAAGAUGGGAAUGUGCAUGAUUGUUUUAUAUGAUUGAACAUGUAUGGGAACACUUUAAUUUGCUUUCCAUAAAAAUAAUAUAUGUGAUUUUAUUUUUAAGAUAAUAAUAUUUUGAAUACUAAAAAGUGGCAGUUAUUAAAUGGUUUUUUUCUAUUUAAAUAAAAAAAUUUACGUUUCUAGAAAAUAUAUGAGAUACAUUUCAAGUGUACCGGGAGUAUCGGUGCUCCAGUUGUUUUAACCGUUAAUUUGAAUUAUAAAAAAUAUAUAUAAUAUAUAUUAAUUAAAAUCAACGGUUAAAACAACUGAUGCACUUGAAAUGUUUCCUAUGAUAUAUAUACUUUCAUUGAGAUGUAGACAAAUAUUGAUUUUCAAUUUUUCAUACAUGCAUAUCAAGGUUAGUUUCUUUUCUUUGUUAAAAAAUUGAAUUAGUGAUUAAUUAAUAUCACCAAAAUUAUAAUUAACAAAGGCAAGGCUCAAGAAGGUUCUUUUUUCCACAUUAACAAAGGCCAGUUCUUCAUUCAUAUGAAUAUCACACCAUAAUAACUUCUGUUCAAGCACACUUCAAUUCUCUCUCUCUCUCUCUGGUGUAAUAUUAUUUAGUCACACAAAACAUAUACUAAGUUUUCACCCUUGUUGCAUAGCUUUGAUUCUGAGUGUUGCCAUAUUUUGAUGUCUACACCUUUGGAACAUGAUUACAUAGGCUUAGCAGAGAAGAAGAAGAUACCUUCAUCAUCAUCUUCUUCUUCUUCUUCUGAAGAUGGAAAGACCUUCAAGGAGACUGAGUUAAGGCUUGGCCUACCAGGUUCUGAGUCUCCAGAGAGAAAACCACUUUCUGGGGUGUCUCUCUCUCUAUUUGGGAAGCUCAAUAACAACAACAAUGUGAUGAACCACCAUGUCCAUGUGGCUGGUGCUAAGAGAGGCUUUUCUGAUGCCAUUGAUGCUAAAUGGGGUUUCUCUGAUGCUCAUGGAUCUGACUCUGACUUGGGAAAAGCUUCUGCUUUGUUUUCACCAAGAGGAGCAGGGAAUGUUGUUGGAAAGCCUCCAUUGGACCCCAAAACCAUUAGCACCCAGCAAGGAAAUACCAUUAACACCCCUGCUUCUGCUUCACAAGCCAUCAAAGAGUCCAAGCCUCUUCAGGAAAAGAACCCUCAACUUCCUGCUACUAAUGAACAUGCUAGUGCUCCUGCUUCUAAGUAAGUCAACUUGGUGCAGAUUUCAUGUUUUGGUUGCUUGAUUAAACUGAAAGAUGUAUGAUUCAUGAAACUAGUCUGAUUGGCUGUUACAAUGUUGUUUUCUUCUCACACAAUUUAAAAUUAUAAUGCCAAAUUAAAAUGCUACUAUGAUAUUAUGUUUUAUGUACUAUGUUGAAUGUAUUUCUGAUAACUUCCAUGAAUAAAAAUUAAAUAAAAUAAAUCUGAGGUAGCAGGCUUGUAAUCUUAGUAUGAUUGAAAAAGAAUUGUUCAUAGUUAGUGUGAUUGUUAGUUAAAUUUUUGUGUUUCAGUGUGAUAUAGUUUGUGUAUGUUCUUCUCUGCAUGGAAAUUCAAGUCUGGAGGCUGUUGAUAUAUCAAAAUUUCCAUUUUUUGCAACAGGGCACAGGUUGUGGGGUGGCCACCAAUUCGAUCGUUUCGAAAGAACACCAUGGCCUCUAAUUUGACAAAGAACAAUGAUGAAGCUGAAGGGAAACCAGGAUUUGGUUGUUUGUAUGUGAAGGUAAGCAUGGAUGGUGCUCCUUAUCUAAGAAAGGUUGAUCUCAAAACCUAUAGCAACUAUAAGGAACUUUCUUCAGCUCUUGAGAAGAUGUUCAGCUGCUUCACCAUUGGUAUUUUCUUUAACUACUUUUUUUUUUGUUCCUUUUCUUUAUAAGCAAUUUUUUUUUUCUUUAGUUUGAGUUGCAACUUCUCUAAUGGAAAAUUAGGUCAGUGCAACUCUCCUGGGCUGCCUGGAAAAGAUGGAUUAAGUGAGAGCUCUUUGAGGGAUCUUCUCCAUGGCUCUGAAUAUGUUCUUACUUAUGAAGACAAGGAUGGAGAUUGGAUGCUUGUGGGAGAUGUUCCUUGGGAGUAUGUUAUUUCUAUUUUUGUUACAAAUUUUAUAUAAAAUCCUAUAUACAAAAAAUUAGCCAUCAAUCUCAUAAGUUUAAUUAUUCUACUAUAGCAUGUUUGAUUAUUCUGAUAAUCAAUUAUUUAGUUGGGGAAAAAGUGUGAAUUUUGUAUGUAUAAAUAUAUAUCUUGGUUUGUAUGUGGCAUUUUUGCUUUACAUGUUAUUCCUUUAAAGAUCAUAUCCAAUUUUAAUAAACAAAUUCUUUGUUGAUGCAGGAUGUUCACUGACUCGUGCAGGAGACUGAGGAUCAUGAAAGGGUCUGAGGCAAUUGGACUAGGUACAUCUUACACUAAACAUGUUGGAUUACUAGAUUAAGAUUCAAGAUUGCUUAAAGAUUCUGUUGUGAUUUGUUUUGGUUGCAGCUCCAAGAGCAGUGGAAAAAUCAAAGAGCCAAAACUAGUGCAGAAAUUGUUGAACCAUACUGAAGUAUUUGUUUAAAAAAAUUAUAGUUAUAGUAAAAUGUUUACAAAGGAGUUUGAAUUUAUGAUGGUUCUGUUGCUGAUAAGAAACACUGCUGCUACUAUAUGUAAUUCAGUGUCUCAGUUUUUGUGCAUUUAUUAUAGCCUGACAAGUUUUCUUCCACCACCAGUAGAAUUCAACUGGAGACUUCCAGAUCAUAUAUAAACAAAUAUAUAUAUAUAUAUUUUGUUUGUUCUCUAUAUUUUGUGUAACUUUGGAUUCCUGUUGCUGUAUAAAAAGAAUUGCUUGUUGUGCUAUCUCUUUCUUUUAUGUAUUUGCUUAUGCUGGCAUAUUGUAUUAGAUACUCAAUACACUCUUACAUCUUUGCUUUGAAAUGUUGUUAGCUUUGCAAAAUUAUCCCAUUAUUUUAGAUUUCAAGAACACACUCUGUUUAACAGAACAUAAGAAAAGCUCCUCCUAAGAAACUAGAAAGUGAAAUUUGUUAUCAAAGGUUUUUUUUUAACUUUUAAGGAAAAAUAUUAAGGUUAUUAUUAAUCGGAGUAUUUUUUUUAAAAUAAAACUGAAGUUUUUAUUUAAUAAAUACAUUGAAAAUCAAACUCUUUUUAUAUACACUUUUUCGGUUGAUAACCUUCACAUGUGUCCAUACAUGUUAAAGUGUUAAACAACCCUAAAUAAAAUGGCUUGUGAUUUUAAUUUAUUAAUUAAUUUAAAAUAAAAAAUGUUUGGUAACUAAAGAAAAUUAGUCAAAAGCAGCCAUAACUUGCUUUAUUUAGCAUUCAUUAAUUGUUGCAACAAUUAAUUAAUGCUAAAUAAAAAAAUUCUGACUUUUUUUUUUGUCUACCUAGCAUUACCCUUUAAAAUUGUUAUGAUUGAGUUCGCCACUUUAGAAUCUAAUUUAGUUUGGUUGUGAUAUUUUUUCCAAAGUAAAUCUUCCCGAAGAUUUGUUACAUCUAGGUAAAAGUAACUUCUCAAAAUUGGUUAUCAAUUUUUCAACUAUUAAAGCAAAAAUUAAUUGUCUCGUUAUCAGUGUCUUUUCCCUCGUAUUUAAGUAGAUACUAACGGAAACAAUGCUAGUCGUUAAUGUUUAUAUCUGGCUGGAGAAAAUAAGAAAUGAACGGACACAUACGUACAAAAAUUUGCAUUAGCUAGCGACCAUUUAAAAGUUACAUUAACAAGAACAAAAACACGUAAAUAAACCAAAUUAGGAAGAAUUGAGCAGUGAGCAAAGGUGACUAGCUUGAAUUUCAAAUAAAGAGGAAAAUAAGAAUAAAAGAACACUACAUUUUAAGCCAAAUCAGGCUGAAGCAACAAUUCGUACAUAAUACAGGUACAAAACUUUCAUCUACUACAUCCAUACCCUCGUCUAAGCAAAUCUAAAUGACUAUUUAGAUAUCUGUAGAUAAACCAUCUGAGUGUAUCCAUUAAAUACAGAGUUGUCAAAUUUGGACAAACCAAGCCUUUGGAACAAGCCAUAUCGCCCAUCUUCAACGAUAGGACUAGACACACGAGCAGGAUCAUACCUUGUUUGAUGGGUUAGGGAAGGGCCGGCAACAGGAGGGAGUUCCCAGUAAACAUCGAGAAUAGAUUCAAUAUACCGGCUGUUCUGGAAAUGUUGUUCAUAUGAUAUUGGCUUGUUGCUGUGAUUGAAGUUAUCACGCAUGUAGCCUCUAACUCCCCACCAUGCUUCAUCUGGCCCACACAGUUCUUCGAUAUCAACUGCUUUCUCCCAGAAUUUCUUCCUUCUCGAUCUGACCCUAGCUUCGUCACUGUCUUUAAAGCAGCUGUGUCCACCGCCUGACAUAAACAAAGGAACAAGUUCAGUAAGUUUUCUAGUAUUGAGAUAACCACUUCUGAUUUUGAAUAGAGAAUGAUUCAAUGAUGAAAUUUAUGCAACUUUCCACAAUUUUCUCUCCAGCUUCAAAUCCCUCACUUCAUAUAGUAACCAAUGCCAUAACACAGUCCUCAAGUCAGUCAAAUAUUUUUUUUAGUUUGGCCAAAGGGUAUUAUGGAUCUAUAAUUGAGAUCUAAUACCAACCACGCUUGUGCCAGUAUAUGUAUAUUGUAAUGUAAUUAAAUUCAUUCACUAGAAUAUACUGACAGAAAAAGAAAUUUCAGUAGAAUAUCAUAAUACACUAGGAAGGCGAGAUAUUACACACCACUUAUAUAAGAUUGAUCACAUAUCUGCCUCAAUGAAUAAUGGUCACCAGUUCCAGUGUCAUAAUUGUCCUCAAACACAAGAUGUCGGAAUCCAGCUUUCAAGGCUUGCUCAACUCUGCUCAUUAACAUAUAUAAAAUAACAAUAAUAAUAAGCAACAGAAGUUUCAUCAGAACAAUCAACUAUUGAACCAAGAAUGUCAAAGAUUUUGGAAGUAACCUUUUCAAUUCAUUCUGAUGGUCAUCGAAAAAUAUAAGCACGCGACUAAGGUCAGUAAUCCCAUGUUUCUUCAUCACUUUGGGCCAGUCAACACUUCCAAAAUCAACAAAGUCCUUUCCAGCAUAAUAUGUGCAGUUUCCAUCAACAUAGGCAGGUCCCUUUUUCAGAUACUUUUCUGGAUGCCUAGGUGAAAGAGAAAUAAUUGGUCUGUCCGGCAUAGCCUGCCGUAAAACCCAAGUUGAAUGUCCCUUGAAAGCACCACUCUCAAUCAUCAGUUCUGGUUGCAACCACCGGGUCAUAAACCAAAGCCCAAAGCUGUGGUCAAAACCCAUCCCAUACAUGUUGUUUUUGAUUGGCCGAGUUUCAUAUAUAGGCACAAAUUCUUCUAAAGCUCUAAGCAGAUCUUUCGAUGUCCAUUCUACUGUUUUACCAAGUUUCGAUCUGCCUUUACCAAGGAUGAGACUAUAAGCAUCCAGCAAAAACAAAAUGUAUGACUAAAUGAUUUCAAAGUGUAUAUUCAAACUUCAACAUCUAAUUCUCAGCUCCAAAAUCUCAUGAAUGGUUGCUUUAUUGAGCUCAUUUAUAGCAUAUCAAAAUAAUAAUACUAAUUAGAAUCGCCGCUAUCUUUGAACUGUGAGCUUGUUUAAUAUAUAGAAUUUAAUGAAGUGAAUAAUGCGAAAUCCAUAAACAACUAAUUAAGGAAUGUAGCUCAAAUCAGGAUCAGGAUCCGGAAAUAAUUAAAUGAAUCACAUUUUAACAGUUCAGUUUGAUCUUCCAGAAACAAUCUAGCUAGCAUUUUUAGUUUCGCACUCUCGAUCCAAACGAAAACCGAAUCAAGACAAAAUUACAAACCCUAAGAUAAAAAAGAAGUAAGAUCAGAUCAGACGGUAGAAACUUACACCAGGGCACGCCGAGGGUUCCAAAAUCGGAAGCGAGGCCGUCGAGGCCGAAGAAUCCGGCGCGAGAUACGGGGUUGUAGGACGAGAUGCAGACGAAGCCGCGCGAAGUGAAGAGCAACGAGGACGCAGCGAAGACCACGAGCAGCAGGAACACGGCGGCGCAAAGCCAGUAGGAGGUGGAGGAGGAGGAGGAGGCGGAUGCGGUGGUUCCGAGGAGGCGGGAGAUGUAAUUGGAAGCCCUGUUGGUGGCGCGGAAGAGGAUGUUGUUGUUCUUCUUGGUCUUGGAUUCGUCAGCGUUGGCAGCGGAGGCGGAAGAUUCGUCGUCGUCGGCGAAGAGAGUGCCGCGGCGGGAGGAGAGUGCNNNNNNNNNNNNNNNNNNNNNNNNNNNNNNNNNNNNNNNNNNNNNNNNNNNNNNNNNNNNNNNNNNNNNNNNNNNNNNNNNNNNNNNNNNNNNNNNNNNNNNNNNNNNNNNNNNNNNNNNNNNNNNNNNNNNNNNNNNNNNNNNNNNNNNNNNNNNNNNNNNNNNNNNNNNNNNNNNNNNNNNNNNNNNNNNNNNNNNNNNNNNNNNNNNNNNNNNNNNNNNNNNNNNNNNNNNNNNNNNNNNNNNNNNNNNNNNNNNNNNNNNNNNNNNNNNNNNNNNNNNNNNNNNNNNNNNNNNNNNNNNNNNNNNNNNNNNNNNNNNNNNNNNNNNNNNNNNNNNNNNNNNNNNNNNNNNNNNNNNNNNNNNNNNNNNNNNUUAUUUAUUUCUUUUUUUUUUCCUUCUAAUUUCUAUUUUAUUUAUUUAUUUAUUAUUAUUAUUAUUAUUAUUAUUAUUAUUAUUAUUAUUAUUAUUCUCUUCUUUGUUUUUGUUGUUCUUCACAUGAUCCCAUGAUUCCCAUCACAUCACAUCACGUACCAUGCUCUCUUUUGUUUUGAUUGCUCUUUUAGUCUUUUCAGUUACUAACUAGAUGAACUUCUUAAUCUCCUAACUUAUAAAGUUUUACUAGUAGUAUAUAUUUGUAUUUAAUGUUUCUACCAAUCUAACUAAUAAAUGUUUUAUUUAAAGUAAAUCUAAUAAAUUAGUCACGAAUGGAACAAUAUAAUUGUUUUGUAUCUUGAAAUGAUAAAAUGAGAAGCGGAGGAAAUUAAAAGGAAAAAAAAAAAAAAAAGCAAAACAAAACAGAAAGAAAGCAUAAUAUUAAGUGGAAUACAACUUAGAAAAGAAUAUAAGAAUGCUGAAUUCAUGGCUAGGGAAGUCCUUCGAAAUUGAAUAGAAGAAAAAAAUGGUUAAUAUAAGAUCAUGAGUACUUAUUCCUUAUUUGACAAGAAAGGGACUAUAGCGGUUCUCAUGAAGGCAAGCAUAUACUAUUCCACACACUUUCCAAUUUCCUCAUAUUUGCAUAUUCUUUAAACGCGUUUAAUAAUAUAAUAAUAUAACUUAAAUGUGCAUCGAUUAAAUUUGAAGGAUGCCAAUUACAGAAUUACUACUCUGCAAUGGUGUGUCUUGGAGCUGUGUUUGGGUGCAAGCGCUCCAACUCAAUUGUAGGGUAUCUUUUAUCAGCCUUGGUUUCCAUAUCAAUUCUUUGUGUUUUGCGUUUGCUAUGUUAUGGCCUUUACCGCUUUCUAAAGAGGAGAGAAACAAAUACUCAUCAUCAUGAUGCUGCACAGAACACAAGGCUUGGCCAAAUAGAAUAGUGUAGUGUGUUGUAUGUGUUUGCAUUAUGAUUCAAUCUAUUUCACUUUCAUUUUUAUGUUUGUAUUAUUGUUGGUCUGUUUUGAUGUCAAGUGUUCAAACUUGAAAGCUCAUUCAAUAAUAGAUCAUUCCUUCUCAUUUAUACUGCCUAUUCCAUUAAACUUGAUUACUUUCUAUUUAGUUUAACAAAGAUACAAAUGUCAAUAAAAGAAUAAAUGACCAUUUGUAUCCAUAAAAGAUGAAAACACUGACAUAUGUACCCACACUAGAUCGAAACUAAACUUGUACCCACGCAAGAUGUCCUCCGUGUGACAAAAGUAUCUUACGUGGCACUCCAACCCUCCAAAGACAUGGUACUUUUAUCACACGGAGGACAUCUUGCAUGGGUACAAGUUUAGUUUCAAUUUAGCGUGGGUACAUAUGUCAGCGUUUUCAUCUUUCAUGGGUACAAAUGGUCAUUUAUUCGUCAAUAAAACUACCAUAACUCCAAGGAAACAAGUGGUUACAAUAGAUUAGUGCUGAUUGAAGUCUCUGUUAGAGUUCAAAAUACUUAGCAGCAGAAUGUGAAGAGCAGUGAUUAUGAUUGUUAGUAUUAUUAGUAUCGAGAUUCUUGGAAUGAGUGACACGCCAAAGCUUCAAGACACCGUCAAGGCUACCAGUGCAAACAGUGCAACUAUCUUCAAUGUUAUCAUCAACCAACCUUCCUCCAAUGAAAGCAGUUACACACCUAAUUGGACCUCUAUGGCCAACAAGAACGGCUAAACAAGUGUGUUGGCCAUCUUGCUCCCUAGCCCAAACCCUGCUUGUUGAAUCAGCUGAGCCACUAACCAUGAACUUAGCCACACUAGCCAAGCACAUAACUGCAUGUGUGUGGCCUUGGAUUGAACCACCAUAUUGCAAUUGCCCUGCAAACCAACCCUUUAGCCAGUAGUGUAUGUAGCCGUCAGUGCAGCCGCCGUACAAGAUGGCGCCGUCCGGGGUAAGCGUCAAGGCUUUUACAGGAGAAUGCUUGGCGUGCAAGGUAACUGUCAGGGAAUGGGGCUGGUCGUGGCUGCAGAAGUUGCGCCGCCAAACUCGGACCGUGGCAUCGUCGGAGGCAGUGUAGAGAACUCCAUCAUCAGCUACAAUGAUGGCAUUGAUUGGCUCCGGGUGGGCUUUGAUUGUCUCUAUGCACUUCAAGUCAGAGAUUCGCCAUACUUUGACUGUUUUGUCUAGUGAAGCAGUGUAUAGAAUGUCCUCUGCUGUGUUAAUCGCCAUUGAUGUGAUUAGCCCCUUAUGCUUCAUCUGAUAAUUGCAUUUAAGACGUGUUUAGUAGUUAAUAUAAGACAUAAAUAUAGAAGCUCUGAUAUAUAUACUUACUGUCUUGUCUUUGCCGGCGAUGUAGCUGCGGACAUAGCCAACAGUCUUAGGUAUGGAAGCCAAACGAACAUGCUUCAAAACCUUAUCCCAAGUCCUUCUCCAUACUCUAAUCUUGCCAUCAGCAUAAGCUGCAUAAACCGUGUCGUUGGACACCUCAAGAGCCACCACCCUGCAAGCCUUGGUCCUCAGCUGGCCGUACUCGGUGAACUCAGGGAGCUUCCACAGCCUGACAAGGUUGGAUUCGGAGCCUGUGUAGACCAGGCCGUUGGAGGAGAGGGCUAUGGAGAGGAUCUGUCCAUCGUUUCUGAGGACAGAGGAGGCGCAGUGGUAUGUGGUUUGAGGGUCACAAUGGUGAGAGAGCUUUGUAGGGGAAGAAGAAGGAGUAUAGUUCUGAUGGAGAGGAGAGGAAACCGGAGAGGUUUGGAGGCUGCGCGAAAGCGUAGGACAUGAGAGGCGAGGAGGGGAUUGAAGUAGCUUUGUGAGAGGGUUUUCUUUUGUGGAGAUGCUUCUCAAGAAGUUGCUGUUCUGAGUUGUGGAUCUAAAGUCAAAAGAUGGUGUGGGAUCAGGUGAGUUGGAAGAGUCCAUUGAUUCAUUGAUCUUUCUUUGUGUUCCUUCAGUGAUGUGUAGUGGUGGCAGCUAUGAAUAUUAUGGUUUUAUGGUUUAUGAAUGAAGUAGGUGGAAUGAAAUAGGAGUGGUGGUGGUAGAUGUUUCCUAUAACUUGUGUUUAUUGCAGAGUUUGAUGGACGUUCUGAGUAUUAAAGGAGAAAAGAACAAGCUAAGGAGUAUUGUUAUAUAAGUUACUAUUGCUUAUGUACAAAUAACAUUCAAUUUCUUUGGAGCUAUCAAAUUGAUAAUUGUUUUAAGGGCAAGGUUAGAUAAUUGUAGACGAAAUUGAUCUCAACUGUUUCCUGAAUUUGCCCAACAGGCAUUAAUUUAUAAGUUCCAUUGGAGGAAUGACUUAAAGUAUGAAUCAGUAAAUGGCUCACCAAAUUGUUUGGAAUUAAAGAUGGUGGCAGGUGCAUAAACUGAUGCUAAUAAUAAAUGGCAGUAGAUUUUAGGAACCAAUAACUUAGGACUUUUAUUUUUCUUCUAUUCAUUGUUCCUGUUACUAAAUGUAGGCACAAUUGUAAUAUAUUUUAGUCAUUUUAGGCAUUCAUACACAUUUAUUUGGUUUACUUGUCUCUGUCAUUAUUAAUUAAAUUUCAUUUCAGUCCUAUUGAUUAUGGAAAAAUAUAGGUAAUCAACAACAUUUUUGAACAAUGUGUGAAUAAUGUGAAUUAAUAGGAGAAUUAGAACACAUACAACAUGGUAACUUUCACUCACAUCACAAUGUUUAUAUACACCUAAUGAAGUAAAAAAAAAAAUGAUAGCAGUAAUCAUUUUAGAAUCCCUGGAUUUUUGUUCCAAGACAAGUAGGAGGGAUCCCCAAGAGGCCUGCACAUAAGUUUGGAAUGGAAAAUAAGUUUGAAAUUCAGAAGUUAAGUAAAUAAAAUAAAAUUAUAGCAUUUUGUUUACCUUGGCUUGAUGACAUAGAGUAGUAUGAAUACUAUAGCGCAGAGCAAGGAUACCCCACCAACAAAAAGGUAUGCCAUCCCUAAGAAGGGAUUCUUUCCACCAAUCCAAGUUGCAGUUGAUAGAAUGAGCCUCUUAUUCCCACCAAACUCAUAUGUGUUAUAAUUGUUUUCUAUAACUAUUUCUACAAGAUCAUUCACUUCCAGGUUAGUCUCAAUCUUCCCAUACAGUUUUCUGAAAGAUGGCAGUGCUGCCGUUCUCAUCCAAACAAUCAGAUCCUCUUGUUGAUUCAACUGGUACAUAUUAAUUCAUGCAUGAAAUCAAAUAGUUUAAAAAGUUUAACACGACUAUUUUACACUGUCAGUGUAUCAAAAGAAAUAGAUCAAGUAGAUAUAACAACAGUACAGGUAUGUUUUCAUCGAGUUUCGCGCCUCCAACUAGACCUCCAAGUUGAAAAUUCUUGGGAUAAACCUUGGAGCCAAAUUUGUGGGAUCUAUCACUCCCCCAUGAUAUGUCUUUCUUGUUGACGGUCAAACUCUUGGUGUUGACCCAAAACUUGUAAGUGUCAUUGAAGAGAGACCAAGCAAUGAGGCCGCAUGGAACAAUUGGCAUGCUACCAUUGGUUUUGUCUUGUGGAUAACAAUUUGUUGUGUCUCCUUCAGAGGCUGGAUUCACUAGCUGCUUGUCAUUUCUACUCUUCACAUACCUUCGAUGGUUCUGGUAGUAAUUAUCAAGCUGGUAAUAGAUGAAGAUAGGGCCUUGCAUUUUGCGUUCGACGGUCCAUGAUGUCGUGCAUGUCUUGUUUGUCAUGUCGUUUUUGAUAAAUGCCACCGCGUUUUGAGCAUGGAUCUCGUUAAGGCAUUUGUCGUCGUAUCUGAUUGCAGCCUCUUCCACCUGCAUGCAUUCGUCCACCAUCAAUACGUUCAUUAACAAAAAUGUUAUUCGUACGUUAAGAUUAACCACUAAAAUUAGCGACUAAUAUAUUUGUAUACAGGUGAAAACUCAAGUGCAGUCAAUUUCACGUAAAAUUGAUAUCUAAGAGCCGUUAGAUGAUUUGACUGAUUUGACAAAAUUUUCAUCUAACAGCUCUCAAGUAUCAACUUCACGUGAAAUUGACUGCACCUGAGUUUUCACCUUGUAUACAAGUAUAAAAACAACAUAAAUAACCACCAAUCAAAUAAAAAUACACUACAUCCUAAUUUAAUACUACUAAUUAAAUUUAAGAUUAAUUUACUCUUUUAAUCCUAUUAAUUCACAUUAUUCAUACAUUGUUCAAAAAUGUUGUUGAUUACCUAUAUUUUUCUUUAUUUUAUUCAUUAUGACUGAUUUUAACGGUUGAUUUUGGUGAACAUUGAUAGUCGGUGAAUUAAAGAGAGAGAGAGAGAGAUAUGUAUAUAUUACGCUUUCUGAUGAAAACAAUGAAGCAAGACCGACGGGGAUGAAAACGAUUCCUACGACAGUGAAUGUGGAAAUGACCUGGGAAUUGAAAAAGAAUAAAGAUGACGAUUGAUUGCAUUAUUGUUGGUAGAAUUAUAAUAUAAUAUAUAAUAUAUAUACCUACCCAACCAGGUGUUAGGAUUGGUUUCCAUGCAGGAAGUUCUUGCUGUGAGAACUUUGAAUCUAGCAAUUAAGAAAUAAUUAAUAAGAGAGAAAUAAAAGAGUGUGGAAAAAAAAGGAGAAGAAGGAAGAAAGAAACUGACAUUUGGGUUUCUUAGAAUACUUCUUGGGUGUGGGAGCAGAGUGUGGUUCCAUCAUUGUUGCUGCAGAAUAAUAAGUUUGUUAAUGGAGGAGACUUGUAAAAGAAGUUAUCAAGUUCGGAGAACCGCAGAAUGAUUCCAACUAACUGCAAAUGCAAAUUAAAUUUGGACCAUCUUACCACCGCAACUGCCGCUCCUCCCUCCCUAUAUCUCCCUUAGCUCCACUUUAUAAAUAAUAAGAUAAAUUCAAUGAUUGAGAAUGAAAUAACUUGUACUUAUUUUUUGUAGGUAAUAUAAUCUUCUAUUUGGAUCUUUUAAAAAUAUUUUAGAAAAAAUAACUGAUAUUUAUAUUAUACUUAUACUUAUAGAAUUAUUUAAGAUAAUUAAUGAAUUAUAGCUCAAAUGCUAUUUGUUUUCCUUUCCUCUGUAAAGGUCUCUAUUUUUAGCCUCUCUUGAUGUACGAAAAAGAAAAAAACAAUUUAUCCAUUUAUCAUUUUGAAUAAUCCUACAUUUGUUAUAGCUCAAAUGCUAUUUGUUUUACUAAUUUAUCCACUAGAGGCAAUGCCAUCAACUGAGGAAGUACGAGAGGCUGUUUGGGACUGUGAGUCCAGUAAAGCACCAGGUAGUGACGGGUAUAACAUGAAAUUCAUAAAGAAUUGUUGGGAGGAGCUGGGUCAGGAGUUCACUGCAGCUGUGUUGGGUUUUUUUCAGAAUGCAAAGUUACCAGCAGAUGCUAAUAUUACUUGGGUGGCGUUAGCUCCAAAAUUUGUGGGAGCUAAGGAAAUUAAGGACUUAAGACCGAUUAGUAUGGUUGGCUGUGUGUACAAGGUGAUAUCCAAAGUACUGGUACGAAGAAUGCGUUCAGUGAUGCCAAAUCUAGUAGGAGAGACUCAGUCUGCGUUUGUCAAGGGCCGGAAAAUACAUGAUGGUGCCCUCAUUGCUUGCGAGACGGUCCAAUGGCUGAAGAUGCGGAAGAAGAAGGCGGCAAUUGUCAAGCUAGACUUUCAGAAAGCCUAUGACAGAGUGAGGUGGAGCUUUGUGGAUAUAGUACUGCAGAAGAUGGGCUUUGGACUUAAAUGGAGGACUUGGGUGAAGGAAUGUGUGACUACAGCGUCUAUGUCAGUGUUGAUUAAUGGGUCACCAUCUAAGCCGUUCAAGAUGGAGAGAGGUCUCAGACAAGGGGAUCCUCUCUCUCCUUUUCUGUUUGUGCUUGUUGUUGAUGUGCUGCACAGGAUGGUGGGAGAGGCGGUAAGAAAUGGCCGAAUUUCCCCACUUCUGGUGGGAAGGGACAAUAUAGAAUUGUCGCAUCUACAAUUUGCAGAUGACACAAUUUUAUUUUGUCCACAGGAAACAGACACACUGGUGAAUUAUAAGAGACUCCUGCGCUGCUUUGAGUUGAUGUCUGGCCUGAGCAUCAACUUUGAAAAGUCGAGCCUAAUCCCAAUUAACUGUGAGAAGGAAUGGGUGAGGAAUAUGUGUGGUUUGUUGGGGUGUGCUGAAGCGGCGUUGCCUGUUAGGUACUUAGGCAUUCCUCUUGGCGCUAACCCUCGGUUGGUGAAGACUUGGAAACCAAUUAUAGACAAGGUGGAAGACAAGCUGAGCCUAUGGAAAGCGAGAACUCUCAACAAAGCGGGUAAAUUGGUUCUCAUAAAAUCUGUCCUCAAUAGCUUGCCAACUUACUACUUAAGCUUGUAUAAGAUGCCAAAGGCGGUUGCAGAAAAGAUAAUUGGACUGCAGAGAAGGUUCUUAUGGAGUAAAGAAGAUGGGAACAGAGGGAUGCCGAUGGUGAGAUGGGAGGUAGUUCAAGCCCCGAAAAAGCUAGGUGGUUUGGGGGUGGGAGAUGCUUUAAUUAGAAAUGCAUCGCUCCUAUUCAAGUGGUGGUGGCGCUUCUCAAAGGAGGACUGCCCGCUUUGGAAGAAAGUGGUUUGCUCCUGUAAUCAGCUAAACCCAACUGCGAUGCUGUCAACUCAACAGUUGCCAUCAGGAAGGGGCCCGUGGAAAGAUAUCUGCCAGCUUAAUAUUAAGGAGCAGCGUAUAAGAAAUAUGAUGAUCAGUGGCUUGUCCAUGGAGGUGGGAAACGGCCGAAGCACCCGGUUUUGGGAGGAUACUUGGUUACAAGGUGGAUCUUUGAAAGAUUGUUUUCCGAGGCUCUUCUCUGUUUCAAAUCAGCAAGGAUCAGUAAUAAGGGACUGUGGGUUUUGGGAUGGGCUAGAGUGGGUGUGGAACUUCCAAUGGAGGAGAGAACUCUUCCAAUGGGAGCUAGAGCUGCUCAAUCAACUCCACGACCGGUUACGGGUUGUAAGUUUAUCGGUUGAUAGGGAGGAUUCAGUUGUUUGGAAAUUUGACAAAAAAGGUGUUUUUUCUACUAAAUCGUUUGUGCAGGUGUUGCAGAAAGAAACCCUCUCAGAGGACAUCACGAGCUACAGCUUCACUAGCUCAAUCUGGAGAGGCUUGGUUCCUCCAAGGGUUGAACUAUUUGCAUGGUUUGUUUUAGUAGGCAGGGUCAACACGAAGGAGAGAUUGACUAGACUCGGCAUUAUUAAUCAUAAUGACAAUGUGUGUGUGUUGUGCAAAAAGGACAUAGAAUCAGUGCAUCAUUUAUUUUUUGCUUGUGAGUUAACAUGGCAGGUUUGGUGUGCUUGGUUGACGGGUGCUAAUAGAGCUUGGGCCAUCCCGGGAUCCGGAAAAGAGUUUUUUGAGAGUUGGACUGGAGUACCAGGUGGCAAGUCUGAGCAAAGGAAAUGGCUGACAGGAUUCUGUGCGGUUGUUUGGAACAUUUGGUUGGAGCGCAAUAGUAGAGUGUUCCAGAGUAUACAGACAAGUGUUGAAGGAGUAAAGAUUAGGUCAUUCUUGAGCUACAGGGAAUGGUGUGGAGUUGAUCCGAUUGGUUGUUGAUGGCAAUGCCGGAGAUGACAACGGAUUCGACCGUUUUAUUGUUGUUUUUGUUUUGUUUCUGUAUUAUGUUUUGUCGUACUGUUUCUCUUUAUGCUCCAUUUUAGUGUGUUGAGCUCAUUUGUUCAAAAAAAAAAAAGAGAUGGAUUAAUACAAUAGUAAUGCUUAAUGCUUUAGCCUCUCUUGAUUGUGUUCAUUAUUUUUUUUUUAUUCGAUUUACUCAUGUACAGUUAAUAAUGGCUGGAUGUUUAAUUCACUAAGUGUGCAAAUGGUUAUCCUAAUGUUAAAGUUUAAGAGAUAAUUUGAGAGUGGAGUGUUUUUUUACUUUAUUGGGUCAAUUUUAGAGCAUAUUGUUCAUAUUGUUUACAAAAACACAGGAGCAGGCUUGCUCAAUUCUGCUACAAGAUCUUUAUUUCUCCUAAGGUAUAGGCAAACAUUUUUUCAGCAUAAGAACACAGCUUUUAUAAUAACUAAGAAAUAUCAAAGUUGUUUAGUAGAAAAAUGAGUAAGAUUACAAAGAAGAUUACCUAUAAAGUUCUGUAUUUUUAUAUAUAUCAGAAAAGUCAACAUUUAAAUCCAUUUCUCGUGCUGGAGUUGUGAUUUCCAACAUCCAAGUUGCAGGGUUACAUCCAUCUCUGAUUUUAUUUACCCCUUUAACAGACUAAUUAAAAGUAGAAACUAUAAGAAGUUAUAUAAUUGUCUUUUUUUUAUGAUCUUUGAGCUUUUUGAGACACAUUAUACCUCAAAGUAGUUGAUGAGUUGGUAAGAAUGACGGCCUAAUGGGUCGACAUAAAUUUCUUGCCCUCCAAGCUUUAAUAGGAAACGCUGCAAGAAAAAUUGAAAAAUGUAGCAUCUUGUUUUAAUGAAAAAAGCUCAUGUCUCUGGCUCUGGUUGCAAUAAGGCUAUAAAUGCAGUUCACUUUAGAAUAUGAACAAUUUGUCUAAGGCAUUUCAUGAUUUGAACAGUUGUGGAGCUGUCUAGCCCAGUAGAUAUGCCAUCCAUGAACAAAGCUUUCGCCGGACCAAUCAACAUCUUCCCUGCAAAUAAUGCACAUAAAAGUUGAAACAGAAUUACACACAAAAUUGAUGGACUAAGAGUUUGAUCACUACCUGUGGUAACACGCUUUCUUGAUAUACCGCGCAACAUUUCAUCCCCUACUAGAGUAUCAUCACAUAUUUCUAAAUCCAAGAUCUGUAAAUCACAAAUUAGAUAAAUAGUAGAAACCAUAAAGACAGUAUUUGCGUUUGUGAUGAUGCAAUAUUGUGAGAAAUCAGAACUCAGAACUACUUGAAGUUGAAGAUGUCAGCUUUAGUAUAUAUUCUGUUAUCAUCUGGUUUGCUUCCUGGCCUUCAGAUGCUGUUGCCUAGUAUUAUUAGAAAGCCUAUAAGAUCAAAAGGUUGUGUAUCAAUCAAAAUUAACAGUCAUUUCUCCAAUAUGAACAUCAUUCUGGCUAAUGUAUGCUGCAGUUCUUUGAGGUACAAACUCAUUCAUUUCAUGGCCAUUAUAGGUAACCUUGCCACUAACCUGCAACAUAUUUAUCAGCAAAAUUGCAGUGAUUUAUCCUUUGCUGUUGAUUUUAAAUUAAAAAGAUGAUAUUGACUUGAAAUAAUAUGAUAUCUUUUGCAGCUGAACAAAAAAGGUUUAGAAUUUAAGAUUUAAAAAAACUUUAUACAUGAUUUUAUGAGAAAUUUUUAAAAUAAUUAUUAGCAUUAUUAAACUUUGAGUAACCCCAUAUUUCAUAGAUGCUCUUUGUAUUUGUUUGUUUAGAAAGAUGUUGGAUAAGAAAUUUUAAAUUUAGAACUAAUUAGGAUUUACAAUAUUUAUUGUGAAGUUUGGUAAAAAAUAGUAUUAGUCCUUGCUUUUAGCAAAGAUUAAAAAAAUUGAACAUAUUCUUAAUCUUUGGUGUGCUUUUUUAUAUUUAUUGUACUUAAAGCAUCAUUGUAAAAUUAAAAGAUGAAUGUGAGCAAAAAUGCAACAUAUCUUAAAAACCAUUUACACCUUCCUAUUAAAAGCAAAUUUUAUAAUUACUAAGCUUCUUUUCGCAAUGCCAUUUCAUUUUAGAAAUCUAUAUUUAUGUCAUUUUGGGUGGUACAAUUAUUAAAAAGUUAAAAAAUAAAAAAUUUAAAAAUAUUAUCUUAAAGUUUGUAUAAAUUUUAUUUUAUGAUAAACAUUUGAAAUUAGAUUUAUAGAGUUUGAUAAGGUGAACUUGAAUUUAAAUUGCAUGAUUGACAAAGUCGUAUUAGGUAAGCAUUCUUUAACUCAUGAUUGAUAGUAAUAUUUUCAUGCUCUUUUGAAUAUCUUUUUUCAAGUUUUUUAAUAUUAAUUUUCUGGAUUUUUUUUUUCUAUUCCUUCUUUAAGUUUAUGUUUAUUUGAAGCAUUAAAAGAUAGAGACUAAUAAUGCAAAUGAAGAUUGAGAAUAUAUAACUCUAGAACUAAAAUUUAAAUGAAGAUUUAUUAAUAUUUUUACGACAACAGUAGUGUAGUGUGGCCAAUUCUAGAGCUAAGAUGUCAUUUUUUUUUAUUAAUAUUUUUAACUAAAGCCGAUAUUGUAAGGAUAGUUGUGGUUGUUGGAAGCCUUUAAGAUCUUUUAAAAGGGAUGCACAUAAUUGAAAGGUUUUUAGAUCUUUUAUGCAUACAAUUUUAUUGAUGACAUAAUGAGGGUCAUGAACAAUUUGUUAAAGCAAUUUCGGAAUUUUUUUUUAUUUUACUAUAAAAUACAAAUUAUUUGUUAAAGUAAAAGAANNNNNNNNNNUAAGGAUUAAGGAUUUUAUUUCUGACUUCUAGCAUUUAUUUUAAAUUAUAAUUCUUUAAACAUAUUAGUAGGGUGGGUUUAGGUUGCAAGUCAUACUAUCUUCACAUCACUUAUGAUAGUAUUUGUCAAUUUUAAAUAUUUUAGAAAAUGUUACAAUAGAUCUAGAGUCAAACUUAAUAGGAGAGAUUAAUUCAAUAGUUUACUUAGAAUCACGUAAAACUUUGAUUGAUUUUUUUUUUAAUGUUCGACCAAAAAAAAAAUUGAUUUAAGUAACAUGAUUAUUUACAAAUUGCAACUAUGAACUAUAGAUUACUUACAUGACUAAAUUUAUUGAUAGAAAGUUAUCGAUGAAGUAAAUCCUUUUAAAGUUAGGACCUUAAGUAAUAGUUACGAAUUCUUUUUGAUGUGAAUUAUGUACAUGAACCAAUUUUUUAAUAUACUUUAAUUGAUGAAAUCAUUAUUUUAUUAUCUUUUUUUAUUUUUUAAAGUUUGUAAUACUAUUACUCGAAUUGACAUCCACAUCAUGAAAGGACAUAUCGCUAAACCUAUAUCAAUUCACUUUAACUAUGGUUGGUGUUUCGUCCUGGUACUGGGGUGGCCAAGCUUUAGCAAUUCCGAGCAAGCGUCUGUCGGAGAGGAAGAGCUAUACGUUGGCCUGGAACGAACACUGCGGCGGGAAUACCUGCAAAAGAUACUCCGACGCUCAAGUUAGUGAUAAUCUCGAGUGAGAGUAAUUAAGUAAAUAUGAAGACUGAGAAUGGAACCUGAGACCUAACCGAGGAUAUUAGCUCGGUUUUAUAGGAGUUAUUUUUACCCGUUGGUGGAUAAGUCCUAGUUUGUAGGUUGGUUAUGAUAUUCAGUUUUGGUGAUUAAGUUUGUUUGAGCACAUUUCCUAUUUCUUCGAAUGGGUGAGGCCGAGCUUAUCUACCUUCGUGUCGAGCUUAUCGGGAGCUGACAUGAGGCUGAUCUUAGCUGCUCACGUGCCGAGUUUCUCGGGCGGCUGAUGCAGGACCGAGCUUAGUUGCCCACGUGCCGAGCUUUUCGGUCGACCGAGGAUAAAGGUGACGUAUCAGUUGGUUUUUCUAAUUUUGAUUAUUUUAUACAGGAGAGAUUGAUGAAGGAGAAUGCUUGGCUUCGUUUAGCGAUUUUAUUAAAAGAUUUAGGAUAAAUAUCUACUUCUAAUUGUUUCUCACUAAAUUUUGAAUAUUUUACUAUUUAUUUUAACAAUGUUUACCAUAGAUAUAUUCUUAUUAAACUGUGAGUUUGUAUUCUUAUUAAACUCCAUGCUUUACUGUUUAUGAUAAUAAAUGAGACAUAUAGCAUAGUUGAAAGAAAUUGUGUUUUUGAACAUCUAAAUUUACUUAUAUUUCUUAAAAAGCUGAAUAAUUUUUUAUUUCUGAUUUAUCACAUUACAUGCAUGGGUUUGAUGUACUGAUUUUAAGUUAUCGUAUACUUUCUAUUUUAAAACAAAAGUUUUUAAUAACAAUAUAACAUAUUAUUUUUAAAUUGGUCACUUUUAUUAUUAAUGAUACUUUUUUUAAUGUAUUAUUCUUUUUCUAUCUACAUUAGCAAUUUAUUCGCGCGUUUGUACGAGUAAAACAAAUAAUACCAUUAUGAGAUCAAUGUCAACUAUAUUUAAAUUAUUAAUUGGUGUGAAAAAUAAAUGAACACUAUUAGUAUUUAAAAAAGUAAUGUACUCUAAUUUAAUACAUAAUAAAGAACUAUUUUAAUUUUUAAUUAGCAGAAAAUUUAGAACAUUAUUUAUAUUUUGACAGAAUCACUUAUGAAUAAUAACAUAACAUAAUAUUUCAUAGCAUUUCUUUUUUGAGAAAAAAAUAAAUAAGUCCUUGACCUUUUGAUCCAUGGACAUUUAAUUUUGUGAAAAUUUAAAAAUGCAUUUAAAUUCAUAAUCUUUUUAAAAUUUGGACAUAUCGAUUUCUCAUAUUUACUUACGAAAAAAUUAAAGGUGACUCCCGUUAUACUGACCUGAUUGAUAUGGAUACACACGUGAAAGAGUUUUUAAAAUGGGAUAAAUUAGACCCAAAGAUGGAUGUGUUCAAAUUUUAAAGAAGUUAAAAAUUUAAAUAUAUUUUUAAAUUUUUAGGAAUUUAAAUAUCAACAAACUAAAAAGUUAGGGAUUAAUUUAUCAUUUUCUUUUUUUUAAUAACAAUUUUUUCUAUUUGCUUAAAAAUUUUCAUAUAUUUUUCAAACAAUAUCAAUAUUCCUCUAUUUUUAAUACCAAAUAAUAUCUCAAAUAUAUUUUACAUUCACUUUAUUAUAGUCUUUAUUUAUCUAAUGCGCCCGGAUCUUCAAUAAUUCUCUCCUUGGUUCUAUAUUCAGACAAGAUGCUCUCGUUGAGCGGGAAUCUUCCUUUCAAAAAAUUUUUGAAUUUCAAAUAUAUUCUUUAAAUAUAUUUUUUGCCCCCAUUUUGUUUGUUUUCCCAUUCAAUUCUCAGCUCAUAGGUCACAACCGAAGCAGAGAAUCGGUCCGUCUCACUCACACUCGCUCGCGAUAUUUCGAACACCGAUUUCUUGCAUACAUUUCUGUCAGUGCUGGGCGUGUCGCUCGGCAACACCGUGUCGGGUUCGGUGGUCCUGAUCGUAACGACCUUAGUGGCACUGAUAACUGGGAUGCCGAUCUCUUCUUAUGGAAGAAAUCGUCGGAUCCGAGCAGGAAGGUGAGACCGGUAAUACUCAAAGGAUGUUACAGGUAAGCACAAUGGAAGCUGCUUCUUUUUUUUUUUCGUUGUACCCUUAAAUGAUGUGCUACAGCUCUGUUUUGAGGGUUUCUCCUCUGAACAAUACUUUGAUCUGUUUGUAUAUGUAUAAUGCUUUGCUGUAAACAUAGCCUUUCAAUUUUCUCAGCUCUUUUCUUCUAACAAGUGACAACCAACAAUGGCUUCAAUGGCAGCGUCUUCUUCUAGCACCAUCUACACCAACCUCAAGUUUUGCACCAAAUCCAACAACAGCAACAGCAACUUGAACUGAAGGUACACUUUGUUAUUUUCUCUUUGCUAAAGAUAUGAAACUAUUGAAUUUAAUUACCUAUUUUCUGAAAUUUCUUUAGUUGAAAUCUUUUUACCAUCUUGAAGGGAACUCAUGUUGACAAGCAAUGAAAUAGCAACCGUUGGUGCUAUCUUCAAUUUCAGAUAACCCCUUCUUUAUGUUCUUUUUCCCCCUCUUUAUCAUUAUCACCAUUGAAAGUUGUUCAAUUUUUUUAUAUUAUAAUUAUUUUCAUGCAAAUUUGGAAUAUCUUAAUUUAAGAUUUUAUAUUUUAUAUUUUUCCUUAUUGCAUAUUGUGUGGAAAAAAACUUGAUUAUCUUGGAAUGCAGAAAAAAUUCUGCAUCUUUAGCUUUAUGUCCAGCAACUAAGAAUUGCAUAUCAACGUCUGUGAAUGUCACUGUCAAUUUUUUUGGUGGAUAUAUAUUUACAAAUAUAAGACUAUAAAUAAUUUUACUUGCCUCUGAUGUGUUUUGCUAAAACUAUAACCUACAAACGAGUGCUUCGACUUAAAAAAUGUCAUAGAAAAAUUGGUAAGAGAGGGGCGACUAGAUCGAUACUUAGCCAACAAAACGGACGAACCUAGAAAAAGAAGAAGGGACGAAGAGGUUGGUCGAGCUGAACGACCACCCCGCACCCCGGAGAGGCAUGUUCACAUGAUAAAUGGAGGAUUUGCGGGAGGAGGAAUCUCCAAGUCAUCCCGCAAAAGGCACCUUAAGGAAGUAUAUCAUGUUGAAGGAGGAGAAGGACCACCCGACCUUCCUACUAUUACUUUUACCCAAGAAGACGCGGCCGGCAUCAUCCCGGGACAUGAUGAUCCCAUGGUCAUUAUUAUCAUAUUGGCCAAUUCUAAUCUCCACCGUACAUUGGUGGACCAAGGAAGUUCGGCAGAUAUCUUGUUUAAAUCCGCCUUCGACAAACUCGGCCUACAAGAAAAAGAGCUCGGGGCAUAUCCAAACAGCUUGUUCGGACUAGGAGAUACUCCAAUCCAACCACUUGGAUACAUCUCACUACAUACAACCUUUGGCAAGGGAACUCGAUCAAGGACACUCAACAUAGACUACAUUGUAGUCGACGUAGGCUCAGCCUACAACGCCUUGAUAGGUCGGACAACACUAAAUCAGCUCACCGCGGUAGUUUUGACUCUGCAUCUAUGCAUGAAAUUUCCAACUUCAGAAGGGAUCGCCACGAUAAAAGGAGACCAGAAAACCACGCGACGAUGUUACCACGAAAGUCUGAACCUUAGAGGCAAAGGAGAAGAAAUCAACACUAUCGAGCUCGGGGGAGUUCGAGGUUGGGAAGAACUUCGUCCACAACCGGAGGGUGAUAUCGAGGAAGUCCAGAUCGGGGACAUCCCAGAAAAGACAACAAAUAUUGAGGUGACUUUGAAAGGAGACAUAAAGGAGUCUCUGAUACAGUUCCUAAGAGAUAAUGUUAACCUCUUUGCAUGAAAAGCCGCAGAUAUGCCAGGCAUAGAUCUCAAACUAAUGUGCCACAAACUGGCAGUAUACCCAGGAUCUCGGCCAAUACAACAGAGGCGUCGGAAGCUCAGACCAGAAAGAUCCCAAGCUAUGGAAGAACAAGUACAAGCCCUACUGGAGGCAGGAUUCAUAAGAGAAGUCAAGUACCCACUAUGGCUGGCCAACGUUGUAUUGGUGAAAAAGUCAAAUGGAAAAUGGCGAAUGUGCACUGAUUACAUCGACCUCAAUAAAGCCUGUCCAAAAGAUCCUUAUCCACUCCCAAGUAUAGACACUCUAGUGGAUGCCUCCUCUGGAUACAAGUACCUUUCCUUCAUGGAUGCUGUUCCGAGGGUUACCUGAAACUAUAGGUCGAUCUCGGAUGAGAUCUUCUAUUCUGAUCAGAGAUGACGUGUCCGGCUGGCGGGUGGUGGCCGGCGUUGUCGUAUCCGAUAUGUGGGACUGGCUAUGCUGCUGAUCCUUGGUCACCGGAGGGUGGUGGUACCUGCAAGGGACUCCGAUGCUUAAGUUAGCAAGGGUAUUAAGCAGGUUUUUAGUAGAAUCAGAGUAUGAGUUAUACCUGGGUGCUCCAGCGUAUUUAUAGUAGUGUGGAGUGACCUUUCUGGGGAUAAGAUAGUUAUCUUAUCUUAUCUUAUCUUUGAAUUAGGUCAUCUUAUCUUCAAGGGAAUCGCCUUUAUCUCUAUAGGCUUGGACUGCCUUUGAAUUUGGGUCGUGUUCCUCUGUUGGGCCCUUUUUGGGCUUUCCCUGGUGAUUUGGUCGAGCUCUUUGAGAAGAGGUCGACUCGUCCUGACCUGAAGAGGUCGGUUGACUUGUCGUUUAAGCAACCCGGGUCGGACAGCUCGACCCUAGGGUAUGAACAGUGCCCCUGCUCGAGUACGACCUUCCUUUUGAGGUCGAGUCCUUUAGUUUUUUAGGUCUUCAAUCCUUCGUUUGGAAAGGCCGAGCUCGAGCAUGUUGGUCGAUUCCGCUGAAGUUUUUUGAAUGCGAAUCGUUUUUUCUUUGCUUACUUUAGUUUGGAGGCGCGCGCUUUUGCAUUUAUAUUCUUGUCUUGGGAAUGUGCGAGGAUUUAAUAACCUCAUUAAUUCCUUUCGUGCUCCGUUUCUCUUCAUUUUGAAUUUCUCCCACAAAAAACGGUUUUCUCUUUCCGUUCCUUUCUUGCUGUAACUUCCCCCUUUUCUUUUGUCUUUCUGUUUUGCCUGAGGCUUGCAUUUUUCGUGUUUCUUUCUGCAACGCUUGCUAUUGGUGCUUCCCUCGCUUCGGGUUCUGUCUUCAACUUUCUUCGGAUCUUUCUCUCUUUUUUUCAGGUUGGUUCUUCUCUUACUUUUGUCCUUCUUCCUUUGCUUUAUUUUUAUUUCUUGGUGAUAAGUUUUGAUUUUGCUUGAAUGUUCAUUGAAAGAUUGAACCUUUUUGCCUUCUUGUGUCUGCUUUUGGCAUUUCUCUUUGAUGAUAAAGGCUUUUUUAGGGCUUUGCAUGUUUGUUGUCUUUUUAUUUGGUUUUGUAGCUUUUGAGAUAAUGGCUUUUGUUUAUUUCUGGAAAAGUUUGCGUCUUUGAUGACUUCUACUUGAUACGUUUUGUUGCUUGGUAGUUCCGCUUGAAACUGUAGUUUGGGAAGUGGUUAUUUUGAUGACUUUAUUUGAUUUGUGGCUCGUGGCUUUCUUCUUGGAGUGUCGCUUUUGUUGAAAAUAGGGUCAUUAUCUUCCUGUUAGGACGUGUAGAGAUGUAGGCUUGUAGAUUUUCCUGAGUCCUUGUUCCAUAAAUGCCUCCAAAGGAUGCCCCUGGAUCUUUAGUGUAGGUCCUGGGGUUUCCUUUUGUUGCUUUGUCUGCCUUCUUGACACUUAUGCAUUUUAGUUUUGAGUUGUAUCCCUUUAUGCCCGAGUUGUGCUUUAUUUUGCCCGAGCUGUUUGACUAGUAACCCAUUUUUUUCCUUUUCUUACUGUAGGAUUUUAGUUGACCCAUGUCGUCUCGUAAAAAUAUUGUCGAGACCUCUUCCAGAGUCCCCGAGGGCAUGUCGGACUGACUGGAUUCCCUCGUGUUGAUGUGUGUUUCUCUAGUAAAUUCUGAAUUCUGUGUGAAGCUGAGAAAAUAUCACAGAAUUUGUAGUAACAAAAUUUAUAACCUACAAAGACAUUGAAUUCAUAUCCCUAUAUUUAUUAUAUCUUACUAUUAUAAACAAUACAAUAAAUUUAUAAUUUUAAUAAUUAAUUUAUUAAUUUCUAUAAAUAACUCAUUAAAUCUAUUCUUAAUAUAUAAGAGUAAAUGACUAAGUUUACUCACAUUACUUUUAAAAUAUCCUACUAAUGUCAUGUCAGUAACAUCGCUUACUUGGCAAAACUUUAGAAUCAACCAUUCAAUUCUUGCCAAAUUAACUAUUAUUUUCAAAUAAGCAAAAUAUAUAUAUACAAGUAAUAGAAAUAUAUGCAAAUUAGGGUGUAAAAUUACCAACGACAAUAAUUAAAAAUUAAUAAUGUCUAACCAAAUUUGUAACUUACAAAGACAUUGAAUCCAUAUCCCUAUAUUUAUUAUAUUUUACCGUUAUAAACACUACAAUAAAUUUAUAACCCCAAUAAUUAAUUUUAUUAAUUUCUAUAAAUAAUUCAUUAAAUGUAGUAAUAAACAUCCAUAUUCCGAAGGUCAUAAUAAUAUUAUUAAUCAUAAUAAAUUUUACGUUACAAAUAUUCAAAUUCUAUACUAUUCGAACUACUUAUAUAAGUCUCUUAUCACUAUUCUUUCAAAUAACAUCAAAUUUAGCACAAGAAAUAUAUUUUUGAACUACGCAACAUCUCAAACUUACUCAAUGAAGCAUCAUUCUUUGGACAAUAUCACCAAACAAACAGACAAUUAGUUUAUCAAAAUUCGCAUAAUAAAGAGGAGCUUCUUUGCUUAGAAAUGAUUAUAUUAGAUAAAAAUGUACAAUACAAACAUAUUUAUUACAUUUUUAAAUUAAAUUUACGAAAAAAAUACUUUAAUUCUUUUUGCUUUUUAUAAUUUUUAUAUUAUUUUUCUAAUACUUUAUAUAUAAUUGUAUUCGAAUAUCGUUAAAAUUAUACUUCUUUCAAUAUGCUAUUCAUUGUUCAUUUUCUAAUAACUUAAAAAAAUUUAAUCAGAAAUUUUUUAACUAAUUAUUAACUAUGAUUUACUAACACUAGGGAACACCUCUUCAUGUAAUUGUGAAAAAAAAAUAUGAUGAACAAAUUCAAACAUUUGUUACAAGAAGAAAAAGUCAAUACUAUAAAAAUUUGAAAAUAGAAUAUGCAAAUUAAAGAAAUUAAAGAUCCAAUUUUGAAUAUUCUCUAACACUAUUUUAAAUUUACAUCAUUUGAGACAUUGUAAAUAUUAACAGAUAGUUUCACUUUAUAAUAUUUCAAUUAUUCUUAUUAAAAAUAACUUAUUAAAAAAUAAUAUUUAUUUUAAUUAACCUUUAACAAAUUUUACUUCUUAUUUUCUGUAAUAAUGUUAAGAAGACAACAACCUUAAGUUAUUUUAUUUAACUUUAACAUUUAUAAUUUUAAGUGUGUAAAAUACAUAAUUACAAAUUUAUUAUAUUUAAUAUUAUUCAAUUAUUUCGGUCGUAAUUAAAGAAGAUAAAAUUAAAUAAUUUUAAACUGUUUUGACAUAUUUUUUAUGGUCUUCCAGAAAUUUUUAUGUACCUUAUAAUACUCUAGAUUAUUAAGAAAAAUCCCAGUUUGACAUUCUAAAAUUGUCAAACAAUGUAAAUAGGUCUUUUAUUAACUUUUUUUAUUUUUAAUUUUUAAUGUUAUCCUUCUUUGUGAUGUGUAAGAAAAAAUUAUAUCUUAAUUAAUAGAAGAGUCAUUUUGAAAAAAAAGUUACAAAAAAAGCCCCAUUUUACACGUUUUGACAUUAUUUAAAAAAUUUUAAAGUACAGAUUAUAAAGUGUAAAAUCAAAUUUCAUCGGGGAGAUAGAGUUUACUUCAUUUUGUUUCCUUUAAAUGUGUGCUAAAAUUGAACACUAAUAUCAAUUGCAAGAGCAGGUGGGGAACAUUUGGAGACUCAAAUGGAGUUUACAAAAAAGUGGAAAUGCUAAGAGUUUAUGAGAUGGCACUGAGAACAUGGUCAUCAGAUUGGUUGGAGGUCCAUGUUAAUCGUAACAAGACACAGUUAUUUUACAAGGAGCGAGGAAGUUCUUGCUGUGAGAACUUUGAAUCUAGCAAUUAAAAAGUAAUUAAUAAGAGAGAAAUAAAAGAGUGUGGAAAAAAAAAAAGGAGAAGAAGGAAGAAAGAAACUGACAUUUGGGUUUCUUAGAAUACUUCUUGGGUGUGGGAGCAGAGUGUGGUUCCAUCAUUGUUGCUGCAGAAUAAUAAGUUUGUUAAUGGAGGAGACUUGUAAAAGAAGUUAUCAAGUUCGGAGAACCGCAGAAUGAUUCCAAGUAACUGCAAAUGCAAAUUAAAUUUGGACCAUCUUACCACCGCAACUGCCGCUCCUCCCUCCCUAUAUCUCCCUUAGCUCCACUUUAUAAAUAAUAAGAUAAAUUCAAUGAUUGAGAAUGAAUUAACUUGUACUUUUUUUUUGUAGGUAAUAUAAUCUUCUAUUUGGAUCUUUUAAAAAUAUUUUAGAAAAAAUAACUGAUAUUUAUAUUAUACUUAUUUAAGAUAAUUAAUGAACUAUAGCUCAAAUGCUAUUUCUUCUCCUUUUCUCUGUAAAGGUCUCUAUUUUUAGCCUCUCUUGAUGUACGAAAAAGAAAAAAAAAUUAUCCAUUUAUCAUUUUGAAUAAUCCUACAUUUGUAAGAGAUGGAUUAUAAUCUAAGUGAGGAAUUAUGAAGAGAAAGAUGAGAAAUUAUAAUGCAGACACAAUAAUCCAUUCGUACCAAUCCAUGAUGCGCACACAGAUGAUCCAGCAAUGACAAGAUCAGCCUUCAUUGCAGUUUUGAAGCUGAAAUCUGCUUUGUCCUCAAGCAGCUUGAUUCGUCUUCUGGUAAGUUCUGGCAUCAAACCACCCUUCUUGCUAAGCACAACUGCUGAAACAGUGGCUCCACAGCUCAGAAGUUCUGUUGCCAACUCCAUCAUUGAAAGUGGUGCUCUAGUCAUGGAAAGCUCAUGGAAUAUCAAGAUGAAUCUUCUGGACCAAACAAGACGUGCAAAGUCCCCCUUCCUGUUACAUGUCCCAGAUCUCUUCUCAGGACUCCAUUCUAGGAUCCUAUCCUCUAUGGAGCCAAAUGGACCAACAAGCAAUCCAUAUGUACUGUUUGUGUUGGGAAUUUCUUCUUCCUGCUCUUCUACAUCGUUAUUCUCAACUUCUGAUUUUGUUUUUCUCCUACCUCGAGCUUUAACUCUUGAAGAUCGUGCUGGUCGUUUGCUCUUCUUUCUUGGCCAAAGCUACAUUUACUGAUUUAUCAUUCCAUUCUUCAUUUCUAAAUGUCUCAUUCAUAGCAGAUAUGGAAUUAUCUGUACUUCUGUAGCAAUCAAAUCUCUACGCUGACUCUGCUCAGCAUCUGAAUCAAUACCAUGUGACCUGCCUCCAAAGCCUAAAAUGAUAUUAGAAUAGUUGGUUUUCUUAUUUUUGGUUUGAGCAUGUUAUUGCAUGUACAUAUAUGAAACGUACGUGACCAUGCAACAUGUGUAAAUGGUAUAAAAUUAGAUAGAUAUCGGAUAAAGUAAGGUGGUGUAUUGAUUAUACGUGGAGGACUAAACAAUUAAAGCAAAACUGGGGUGCACCUAUGUAGAGGCGGAGCUUAGUUUGAACAAAAGGUGGUCAUGAUUUCCUAAAGAUUUUAUAAAAUAAUGAGUAAUUUUACCUUGAAAAGAAAUGGUAACUCAAUUGGUUGAGGUUUUAUAUCUAACUAAUAGUGUUUCACGCCCAUUCUUACCUUUUACUCAAGUUUUUUACUUUUUUUUUGUCAGAGUUGGGGCUAGGAAAAUCCAACCCAAAAAUAAAAUGGUACAACACUUUGCUGACUUUUCCUUUCUAAUAAUUACUAUCUAUCAUUUUAUUAUUUCCCUCAAAUUAAUAGCUCUAUCUCGCAAUUACUUCAAACAGUAUUAUUAUAUUCAAUAAAUAUUAGUAUUAAUUAUUAUAUUCGUAUAANGUUAAAAUUUUUUGCUUCCUCCAAAAUUUUUUUAAAGUUCCAUGACUGUACCUAUGACUUGUUCUUCUUAUAAGUGUGUCUUUUAAUGAAGGUAUUUUUAAUCGAAUUGAGAAGGUGAAAAUGAAAUAAAGGAAACGGAUUGCGGUAGACCGCGGCAAUGCAAAUCACAAGGGCGGAAGAGGCUGUCGUAGUCUUGCAGAAGAGAAAAUUGUGCUUGCAAAGCGCGCGUUGUGGCAACGGGGAUUGAUUGCGGAGGGCAUCGGCACUGCCCAGAGAAUCAUCCAGGUGAACGCUGCGGCGGCGGUGCGAACCACCACACGCAUUUCGAGCAGUGCAAUGAUAAACUCCGAUUUUAUGGUUUAUCUUGUGCUUAAUUUGGGGGAUUUUAUCACCUUUUUUUAUAUUUAUUCAAUGAAAUAGCAUGCUUUUUAGGCCUUAAAAUAGAUAAAUUUAAUCCACUUUAAUUUCAUUCGAUGUCUUGAUAUGUUUGUUGAGUGAUUUCAGGUUCAUAAGGCAAGUAUUGGAUGGAAGAAGUGAGGAGAAAAGCAUGCAAAGUGGGAGAACUUAUGAAGAAAUUAAUGAAGGAACCGUAAAGCUGUCAAGCCUGACCUCCUGGCACUCAAUCGACCAUAACUUGAGCUACAGAGGUCCAAAUGAGGCGGUUUCAGUUGCGUUGGAAAGCUAACAUCCGGGGCUUCAAAAUGAUAUAAAAUUUGUCAUAUGUUGCUUCGCGUAUAGGGGCGCGCACGCGCCAUGUACGCGUGCGCACCGAUGCUGCUCGUGGCCCACUAAAGUGAAAUCGCCCCCAGCGAUUUCUGAAGCAAUUUGGGCCCAACCCAACUCAUUUCUGAUGCUAUUUCAUGCAGAAUUUAAGCUUGGGUAAAGGGGGGAGCAAUUGUUUGGUAGUAUAGGAUCAUGUAGGUUAGUUUCUAGAGAGAGAAGCUCCCUCUUCUCCCUAGAAUUAGGUUAACUUAAUUAAUCUCUCUUAGAUUUAGGUUCAAUUACAUCUUUUCAUUUUGUUUCCUUUAUGGAUUCUUGCUUCUACUCUUCCAUUCUCAUGAUUUGUAGUGUUAAUUUUACUUUUAUAUCUCUUUUAUGUUUAUGAAUGCUCAUGUUGAAUUUGUUUACAUUUAAUGAAAUUUAAUGUUUGAUGUUCUUUUAUUGUUAAUUUGAGUUGUUGAUCUUGUCUCCUCACAAUUUGUAGUUGAUAGAUUUUACUAUUUCUUGUUAUUUAUUAUGCUUUCCUUUUAUGCCUUCCAAGUGUUUGAUAAAAUGCUUGGUUGGAUGUUAGAGUAAAUUUUGAGCAUUCUUGGCUUGGAAAGAGUAAUUGGGCAAUCUUGAGUCAUUAAUACCCAAUUUAGAUUGGUGAUCUAGAGUUGUUAGUUAAUAUCAUUUUCAAUGACGAUAAUCUUUUGCUAAUCCGAUUAGUAAGUUGAUUAGGACUUUUGAUUUGAGAUUAACUAGUCUUGUUUGACUUUCUCUCAUGGAAGAUAACCUAUAUCUUCUUCUAAUGUUGGAGAUGACGAAAUAAGAUAAAUUCUUGUUAAGUAUUGUUAUGAUUAAUGACUAGGAUAGAAAGCCUAUGAUCUCAAACCUUGUCAUGAAUGUCUCUCUUUAUUACUUGCUUUCUUUAGUUACUUGCUUGAGUUAUUCUUCUUGUCAUUUAAUUCUUGCACCUUUAUAUUUUCUUGUCCCUAUCUAAAUCAAAACCCCUUACCCACUUUAUAGCCAAUAAUUGACCACUUCAUUGCAAUUCCUUGUGAGACGACUCGAAGUCUAAAUACUUCGGUUAAUUCUUAUUGGGGUUUGUACAUGUGACAACCAAUAUUUUUUUAUGUGAGAAUUGUUUGUUGGUUUGGAAUUAUGCUUACAACGAAGUAAUUCUUUUCUAUAAGAAGAAAAUCUAGACUAUCGAGCAAAUCUUCAUUCAUCAUGCAACUAACGGCGCGACGCAGCAGGAAACUGAGGUUCCGCAUGGCGGUGAAGACGACGGUGGUGAAGGAGAAACAACGUGACGACAAAGACGACAGUGCGUUGAACAGUGUGCACGGAGUUCUGCUGAGGACUCAAGUUUGAAGAUGCUGUUGAUGACCGGAAAAGGUAAUAGAUGAUUGAGGAUAGUGUGACUCUUGUUGCUUCACCUUGCAAACACUCCCGGCAGUUACAAUCCUAAUUUUCAAAUUCUAUUUACUAUUCAUAUGUAUACUUAUUUAUUGAUUUUAAUACGAUGAGUUAAUAAUUAUUUUUUAAAUUUUAUUUUUUAAUUUUAAUUUUUUUAUUUUAUAAUAGCCUAUAUGUAAAAUAUGAGUUGUAUAACAGAAGUUGUUAAAUUCUCUAAUUUAACAUCCAUAUUUUUAUACGUAUAAUAUUUAUAAGGGUAAUUUACAUAAAUAAAAUGAUUGAAGAAAAACGUUACGCAAAUACAACAUUGGCAAACUCCAGACGCAAAUACAACAAAUGCAAUUAUAUGUAAUCCGCUACACCUUGUAGCGGAAGUCAGUUGCACGUAAUCCAUUAUACCCUCUCGCGGAUUACGUUAAGACCAAAUUUUUGUGAAAGCAUAAUCCACUACACCCUGUAGUGGAUUAUGAGCGGAUUAUGAAGAGAAUGGCUUAUUAUAUAAACCUGUGUAAUAGUAACAACUAAUGUAGUAAAAUGAACGAAUUGAUACAAAAAUGAUUUUUAAUAAACAUAAAUAAUAAUAAAUACGUUUAAUAAAAUAACUUUUAAAAUUUAAAAAUAUUAUGAAUCAACUCAUCAUAAAUUCAUUAAUUGGAGAGUUACUAUUCUAUAGAUGCAGUUUAUUUAUUUUGGUCAUGGUAUGAAUGAAUAUUUAGUUAGAGUUUAAUUGGAGAAUUUGAUUUAAAGUCUACCAAAUCUUCUUUUGUGAAUAUUCUUUUGAAAAGAGAGGAUGACUUGUUUCUAUAUUGCAGCAUUAUUUACUUUCAUAACUAGAAAUAAAACCGCGUAAGUUUUUUUGUUGAAUUAUAAGAUUUUUUUAUAGAGAAUGAAUAAUAUUAUUUUUUUUAUAAAUUUAUAUAAAUAUAAAAUUAAAAAAUUUAUAUAUAAAAUAGUAUAUUUUAAAAAUAAGAAUAACAAUAUUAUUUUAUUUUAACUUUAAAAAUAUGUAAUAAUUUUAUUUUUUAAGUUUGAUCUUUUUUAAAGAACCAAAGAACAUCUUAUCCGUAAUAAGUAGGGGUGAUGAUAACUAGUAGGAUUCUUAAUACUGCAAUAUUUACACAUAUGAAUUGGCAUAAAGUAGAUUUUUUUUUUAAGAAACAUCACAACUAGGUGGAACAAUAAAGAGAACAAAAUAACUAAUAAAAAAAAGAAAAAUAGAGAAAAAAAUUAAUAUAUCUAAAAUUUAUAUAUUUUUUAAUUAAUUAACAAAGUAUAAAAGAAAAGUUAAAAAAAAAGUGAAGAAAAAAUAUAAUGGAGUACAAUUGAGUACUUAUAAAUUUAAACAUGUCAAGUUAUUUUUUUUUGUAAAUUUGAAUAGAUAAAAAAUUAUAUACAUUAUAAGCUUAACGAAAAUAGUAUGGAUAACAUCAAAAUACGUUACAAAAGAUUAUAAUUUAAGAAAGAAAAAGUGAAAAACAUAUCAUUAUUGAUAAUAAAAAAUACUAAAACAUAAAAGAGAAAAUGUAAAAGAUUAAAAUAUAGCAACCAUGAAAACUUUGAGUAUGUAAAAUUAUUUUGGUCGUACGACUUGUUGCAAAUGACGAUUACAUUUUGUAUCAAUUUGUUCAUUUUGCUACAUUGGUUGUUAUUAUUAUACAGGUUUAUAUGCUUUCACAAAAAUUUGGUCAUAAACCGCUACAGGGUGUAGCGGUUUAUGUUAUGCAUGCUCUCAACGUAAUUCGCGAGAGGGUAUAGCGGAUUAUGUGCAUCUGACUUCCGCUAAAGGGUGUAGCGGAUUACAUAUAAUUGCAUUUGUUGUAUUUGCGUCUGGAGUUUGCCAAUGUUGUAUUUGCGUAACGCUUUCCUUCAAUCAUUUUAUUUAUGUAAAUUGCCUUAUUUAUAAUUUUAUAUAUAUANNNNNNNNNNNNNNNNNNNNNNNNNNNNNNNNNNNNNNNNNNNNNNNNNNNNNNNNNNNNNNNNNNNNNNNNNNNNNNNNNNNNNNNNNNNNNNNNNNNNNNNNNNNNNNNNNNNNNNNNNNNNNNNNNNNNNNNNNNNNNNNNNNNNNNNNNNNNNNNNNNNNNNNNNNNNNNNNNNNNNNNNNNNNNNNNNNNNNNNNNNNNNNNNNNNNNNNNNNNNNNNNNNNNNNNNNNNNNNNNNNNNNNNNNNNNNNNNNNNNNNNNNNNNNNNNNNNNNNNNNNNNNNNNNNNNNNNNNNNNNNNNNNNNNNNNNNNNNNNNNNNNNNNNNNNNNNNNNNNNNNNNNNNNNNNNNNNNNNNNNNNNNNNNNNNNNNNNNNNNNNNNNNNNNNNNNNNNNNNNNNNNNNNNNNNNNNNNNNNNNNNNNNNNNNNNNNNNNNNNNNNNNNNNNNNNNNNNNNNNNNNNNNNNNNNNNNNNNNNNNNNNNNNNNNNNNNNNNNNNNNNNNNNNNNCAAAAAAAUAAGAAAAGAUAAUUAAUUAUAGAAAGAAAUUAAUUGUGUGAAUUAAAUUAGGAAAGUGAUUCACACUCUCUUAUAAAUACAAAUAUUAUUAAUCAUAUAUUUUUAUUUAUUGUACAUAAAUUAGAAACAUAAAAACAGAGGUAGAAUUACCAUUAUUUUCAUGUGAAUUUUAAUUUUUUUUCUUUUUGAUUUUCAGUUUUUUUUUUUGCGUGAUUUUUUUUAAAUAUCAAAGUUUACUUUUCAAAUAAACAGAUAAAUUUAAAGAAAAAAAUUUGGUCAAAAUAAAAGAGGAAGACGUAUCUACAUCAUAUUUAAUAUUUUUAUUUUAUUUAUUUAUAAAACAAAACGGAGCAGUACAAGUACUCGUUAUAGAGAUAAUAAAAUUUUAGAUGAAAAAAAAUAAAGGUGGCUACUCUAAUGAAGAUUUUAUGAUUGUCAUCGUGUGAAAAUAUUUCAUUUUGACUAUUAGAUGAUAGAUUGUAGAGUUUGAUUUUUAUUUAAAGUAAAAUUGUUACCUUUAUUCAGUGUUGCUAAACAAAUAAGUUACACUUUUUAAAUAAAGAUCAUCAUGAAAAGAUGUUUUUGGCAUCUUCAUUAGAGUAGUUGCCAAACAUAAAUAGAUAGAUGGUAACAAACCUAUAUUCUAAAGCAAAACGUAUUCAUCCAAUCUCAUUCGUUCGUGAACUCUGCUGAAGCAGUGGAAGUAGACCAGCUACGAAGAUGUGAAAGAUUACCGAAGAGGAACUAAGUACUGCACCAGCAAUGACAUAAAAGGGAUCCAAAUUUGAUUCACUACCAACUAUUGUGGUAGAAGCAGCUGCCAAUCGCACACCGGUAACCGUUAUAAAUAUGGUCAUCAACAAGGCUCCAACAGGAAGAUGGAAUGCGGCAUAAUCUACCAACUUCUGAUCGACGGGAGGAAUCUCAACAACAGGAACCACAGAAAAACUGGAAAGCAACGCGGCACUGAAAAAGAAGUUAAAGAUUGCAUAGACGGCCGGUGAGGUAGUGACAGAGACUGAGACUGUUGGUGGUUCAAGUGCGACGACAGCAAUUAGAGUGGCAACGGAAAUUGAAACGAUAAGUAAGCAAAAAGAUCUGUCACUGACAGAAACCACGAGUUUGGGAAUUCGUAAGAGUUGUAUCGUGUCGCUCGUGGCUGGGAAGAUGAUGAUAGCGAGAAGAAUGUAAAAGACACAGAUAAACCAUAGAAUGGGAGAUGGUGGUGAUACUACAUAUGCUGUCUUGUGGAGCCAUUGCCACCAACAAAUCACCAUGCUAAUAAUACCAAUCAAGAGGAACAAAUGGACGGAGUGCAUAACAGGACGCCAAGCCCAUGCCAUGAUAAAUACCUAGAUAACUAAAACAGAAUCACUAUAUAUGUAUAUAUAUAUGGUCGAAAGAGAUUGUUAGUUUGAUCAUGUUUUAAAAUUAAAUAUUAAAUUUUAAUUUUUUUGUUUCGUUCUUUUUAAAUUAAAAUUUAAAAUUUUGAUAAAAAUAAGAUAAUUUUAAAAGUAAAUCUACUUUUGCUUUCUAAUUACCAUAAAUAUAAUACUAACGUUGAUAGUGAUAAAUUGAUAUUAUAAUAAUUAAUUUCUAUAAUUAUUUUUAUAUUACUAAAUAUUAUAUAUAGUAUUUCUUUUGUGAUUCAUGAGUCUAAAUCUAAGAAUCAAAGUAUUUUUUUAAUUUUUUAUUCUUCUUUAAUUGGACAAUUGUUUUCAAAGAGUUUCUUAAGGAUUUUAUAAAAUAAUGAGUAAUUUUACCUUGAAAAGAAAUGGUAACUCAAUUGGUUGAGGUUUUAAAUCUAACUAAUAGUGUUUCACGCCCAUUCUUACCUUUUACUCAAGUUUUUUACUUUUUUUUUGUCAGAGUUGGGGCUAGGAAAAUCCAACCCAAACACAAAAUAGUACAAGACUUUCCUUUCUAAUAAUUACUAUCUAUCAUUUUAUUCUUUCCCUCAAAUUAAUAGUUCUAUCUCGCAAUUACUUCAAACAGUAUUAUUAUAUUCGUAUAAGCUGAUAAAGAAUUUUUAAGUUACAAUCUUAAAAAUUUUAAUUUUUUAAAUUAAAUUCUAAACAAUUAUACAAACUUAAAAAUAAUUAUAUUUAUAAAUUUUUUUAAUAUAAAUACUAUUAUAUAAUUAAUCUUUACAUUAAAAUUUUUGGCUUCCUCCAAAUUUUUCUUAAAGUUUCAUGACUGUACCUAUGACUUGUUCUCCUUAUGGAUGUGUCUUUUAGUAACAGUAUUUUUAUUUGAAUUGAGAAGGUGAAAAUGAGAUAAAGCUAAGGGAGCGGGAUGCGGUAGACCGCGGCGAUACAGAUCACAAGGGCCGGGAGAGGUUGUCGUGGUCUUGCAGAAGAGAAAUUUGUGCUUGCAAAGCGCGCAUUGCGACAACGGAAAUUGAUUGCGGAGGACAUCGGCACUGCUCAGAGAAUCGUCGGGUGGAGGCUGCGGCGGCAGCGCAAAUCACUGCACGCAUUCUGAGCAGUGCAACUAACGGCGCGACGCAGCAGUUCCACGGGGAGGAGCUGAGGUUCCGCGUGGGGGUGAAGACGACGGUAGUGAAGGAGAAACAACGUGACGACGAAGACGACAUUGCGUCGAACGGUGUGCGCGAAGUUCCGGUGAGAGCACAAAUUUAAAGAUGCUGUUGAUGACCGGAGAAGGACUCUUGUUGCUUCACGUUACAAACACUUCCAGCAGUUACAAUCUUAAUUUUUAAAGUUUAAUUUAUUUUCAAUAUAUAUUUGUAUUUUAAUAUAUAUUUUAUACUGAUAAUUAAUUUUAAUGGCUAAUUUUAAUAUACACAUAAUAUAAUCGAAAAAUUAUAAAUUAUCUCCUAACCUUUCUGAAAAGUGAGGACUAAUGCAAUACAUUUUUCUUUUUAGCUGAAGCUUCAAAUAAAUAAAUAGCUUAUAUUAAUUUCUAUUUGUUCAUAUGAAUGCAGGAGGAAUCUUUUGAGUCUUGAUUCUUAUUCGAAGAUCCAUUGAGCCUAUAUUAGAUAUUUCAAUUUAGACAUAGAAGAUAUGAGUAUAUUAAGGGGUAUGUGCAGUAGUAUGUCGUGUCUUUAUCUUUUUUUUUUAUUUAUUUAUUUUUCUUUUAAAGAGCAACUGUAAUGGAAUACUUAGACAAUAUUAACAUUGAGAUUUGGUGUUAACGAUUUAGUAAAAAAGUGUUUGCUUCAGGACGAUAAUAAAUUUAUAUGUAUUGAGAUAUUUAAAGGAGGAGUGCUAGAUAAAUAAUGACUAUCUUAAAUAAUAUGAACAACCGCUAAUCAAAUAAUAAUAAUAUUAGGAAACUAAGAUAAUUUCAACUAAAAAUCAGUCAAAUAUUUUUGGAUAAAUCCAAAAUUUUUACAUAGAUAGUACUUAUGCUAAGCAUUAGAAUUUUUUUUUUUUUUUAUAAAUUGAAUGGUUUCUGAAUCUAUUUUCUUUAUAAAUUGGAGAGAAAGAGAGCGUGAAGGUUCGGAGGUGGGUUCCAUGCGAAUUUUUGUAUAUUUUUUCAUCAAAUAAAAAUAUACUACACCCUAAUUUAAUGUUACUAAUUAAAUUUAAGAUUAAUUUAUUCUUUUAAUUUUAUUAAUUCACAUUGUUCAUAUAUUAUUAAAAAAUAUUGUUAGUUAGUUAUACUUUUUCAUAUAUUUAAAAUAUAGACAAUAACAAUAAACCAUGUAAAAUGAGAGCACACAAAUAUAAUUAUAUAUCGUGGAGUGAUAUUUAGCAUGAGCAUAGUUAAAAUGGUGGCAUAAUCUCUUUCAUAUGUGUUGCAUGUUUCUUUUAGUUGGUGCUCUUUUAAUUAUAAGAGUUGGAUCCUUUUAUUUGGAUGGAUUUUUUCCAUAACUAUUCUACUCUUGAUAGUAAUUAAUGUCAAAAUAGGUAGUUUCAUUAGUCUUUAAAUAGAGUUUCGAUUUGCGAUAAAUUAGUUCUUGGCUUAUUUGUAGGCAACCAAAAAAAAUAGGUUGUUUCAUUAAUUUGUUUUUUUUCUUCUCUUUAUUCUCGGAUCGAGCUUAUUUUUUUUUUAAAUAUCAAAGUUUACUUUUCAAAUAAACAGAUAAAUUUGAAGAAAAAAUUUGAUCAAAAUAAAAGAGGAAGACGUAUCAAAUUCAUCAUUUAAGGAUAAUAUAACAAAAAAAAUUAAAAAAAAAAACUUAAAAAGUAAUUAUUUAUUUAAUCUAUCCAAACCAAUCAUUUAUAUAAAAUAAAUUGGAUUUUUUAUUAAAUAUGUAACUAAAAACAGCUUUAUGUGAGGUUUUUUUAGUGACCUGAACAUAACACAGAAAAAAGACCUAAGAAAAAGAAUAGUACAAGUACUCUUUAUAUAAAUAAUAUAAUAUUUUAGAUGAAAAACAUCAAUAGAUAGAUAGUAACAAACCUAUAUUCUAAAGCAAAACGUAUUCAUCCAAUCUCGUUCGUUCGUGAACUCUGCAGUGGAAGUAGACCAGCUAUGAAGAUGUGAAAGAUUACCGAAGAGGAACUAAGUACUGCACCAACAAUGACAUAAAAGGGAUCCAAAUUUGAUUCACUACCAACUAUUGUGGUAGAAGCAGCUGCCAAUCGCACACCCGUAACCGUUAUAAAUAUGGUCAUCAACAAGGCUCCAACAGGAAGAUCGAAUGCGGCAUGAUCUACCAACUUCUGAUCGACGGGAGGAAUCUCAACAACAGGAACCACAGAAAAACUGGAAAGUAACACGGCACUGAGAAAGAAGUUAAAGAUUGCAUAGACGGCUAGUGAGGUAGUGACAGGGACUGAGACUGUUGGUGGUUCAAGUGCGACAACAGCAAUUAGAGUGGCAAUGGAAAUUGAAACGAUAAAUAAGCAAAUAGAUCUGUCAGUCACAGAAACCACGAGUUUGGGAAUUCGUAAGAGUUGUAUCGUCUCGCUCGUGGCUGGGAAGAUGAUGAUAGCGAGAAGAAUGUAAAAGACACAGAUAAACCAUAGAAUGGGAGAUGGUGGUGAUACUGCAUAUGCUGUCUUGUGGAGCCCUAGCCACCAACAGGUCACCAUGCUAAUAAUACCAAUCAAGAGGAACAAAUGAAUGGAGUGCAUAGGACGCCAACCCCAUGCCAUGAUAAAUACCUAGAUAACUAAAACAGAAUCACUGGAUAUGUGUAUAUAUGGUCGAUGUUAGGAACAAGACAUUAAACCGAAGAAAGAAUUUGUAUAUUAUUGAGUGUAUUUAAGUUGUCUAUUUAAGUUGUUUGAAAUGAUCCAAUAUAAAAAAGGUAUUUAUAGAUACUAAGAAAAUCGUAAUAAUAAAAACGUAAUCUCCUAUAAUAAAUAUUCAGAUAUACUAAAUAAUACUGAUUAAUUUUAAUUAAUCCUAAUUAUAUUCUAACACUACCAUUAUAUGUAUGUAUUUUAUUUUAGGGGUCGUAACGCCUCGCCAACUCUAUUUUACAUUCUAGGUGUAAAGCUCUGUGUGGUAGAGUGUUACAUUAAUACUUUUUUUUUUCUUUUAAUUUAGUUUUUGCACCAAAAUUUUUCUUAAUUGAAUUUUUAUACUUUUUUUUUAUUUGGGUCAUUGCACUAAUUUUUUUUAGUUGGAUUUAUGUACAAUUAAGUCAAUUAUUAAUUAAAAAAACUUAAUUAAAAAAAAUUAGUGCAGAGACCCAAUUAAAAAAAAUAUAUAAAAAUUUAAUUAAAUAUUUUAUAAAACUAUAAGAAUCAACAAAAUAAUUAAACCUAUAAUAAAUAUAAUAUAUCGACCCAACCAGGUGUUAGGAUUGGUUUCCAUGCAGGAACUAGUUCUUGCUGUUAGAACUUUGAAUCUAGCAAUUAAGGAAUAAUUAAUAGGAUAGAAAUAAAAGAGUGAAAAAACAAAAAUGAGAAGAUGGAAGAAAGGAGGUGACAUUUGGGUUUUUGUACGCAACCAUCAAAAUUUAUUAUCUUCGGUAAUCAUUUGAUUAGCAUUUACACUCAUAUUUAUAUGUAUUUAUGUAUAAAAAAAUAUAUAAUUUUUAUCUAUAUUUAUCAAAAUUUGCACACAUAAAUCAAUAUAAUUGAAUUUAUAUUUUUUUUAAAAUUUGCAUACAUAAUUUUGAAUUAGCAUUAACAAUAAUAAUUUAUAUCUAUAUUUAUAUAUAUUUAUACAUAAAAAUAUAUAAUUUAUACUUAUAUUUACUAAAAUUUACACAAAUAAAUCAAUAUAAUUUCUAUUCACAUUUUCUAAAUUUUACAUACAUAAAUGAUAAUUUAGCAUUUGUAAUAGUUAAAUAAUAACCAAAAUUAUUAAAAACUGAUAUUCCUUAGAAUUUCUCUUAAUUAAUUAUUAGUUGGUUUAAGUAAAUUCAAUGAUUUAGAAUUAACCUAUAACUUAUUUUUAUUUAGAUUUUUUAAAAAUAUUUCAAAAAGAAUAAUUGAUAUUUAUAUUAUAUUUAUUGAAUUAUUUAAGACAAUUAGUGAAUUAUAGCUCAAAUGUUAUUUGUUCUUCUUUCNNNNNNNNNNNNNNNNNNNNNNNNNNNNNNNNNNNNNNNNNNNNNNNNNNNNNNNNNNNNNNNNNNNNNNNNNNNNNNNNNNNNNNNNNNNNNNNNNNAGAGAUCUAUUUUUAGUCUCUCUCGAUGUACGGAAAAAAAUUAUCCAUUUAUCAUUUUAAAUCAUCCUAUAUUUAUUAUAAUUUUACAUAUUUACUAAUUAAAAAAUGGAUUAAUACCACAGUAAUGCUUAAUGUUUUUAGCAGCCUGCUAUAUAGUGAAAAUUUAGGUGCAGUCGACUUGAUGUGAAGUUGAUAGUUGAUGAGAGUCAUUAGAUGAAAAUUUAGUUAAAUCAUCUAACCGCUCUCAAUAAUUAACUUUACGUGAAGUCGACUGCAUCUGAAUUUCCACCUUAAUAUAUAUAUUAAUGUAAAAUUCACUUUUAACUAAUAAUUCAGUGAAGUUACAAGUGCAUAAAAAACGAAAAUCUAGGAAUACAGGCCAAUUUAGGCUUAUGAAGGAAACUUGAUGUUCCAAGGAGAAAUGAAUGACUAUAUAUAUUGCUUUUGUAUAGCAUGAUUCUAUGAUCUAUGUCUAUAAAAUUCUAAAAUACAUGCAGCGAAAAAAAAAAUUGAAUAGAAUAGGAGUCAUUUUGUUAAUAUGCGGCGGUCACAGCGUCUACUACAUUGUGUGACUCAUCAACUAUCAUUUCGUUUCUGAAAAGCAAUUUCAAAUAUGGAAGAACCUUUGGAAGAACGGGCAAAUCUGCCACAUUCACACUCAUCAUGUCAAAUGCAACACACGUUUUAGUUGAACAUACAGUGUAAUCUAUUAUCUAUUAUAUAUCUCUAAUUUUAAGGCCAAAAUGUGUCACAUGUUACUCCUUUAUUGUAAUUGAAAUCAAAAUUUUCCCUCUAAAAUUAAAAAACUCUCUCCUCUUCUCUAUUCCUUUCUCUAUCUCUCUCAUUCUUUAAAUCUUUCUAACGAUCCUUUACAAUAAUUUUUCUUAACUUUUUUAAUGUGAAAUACAAAAAUAUUUGAUUAUUUUAGUGUUUUACACAAUUGUGAUAAUAGCACAAAACGUUAUUGACGUUUUGUAAUAAAAAAAAUUUUUAAUUAUGAAAGAACAAAAUUGUAAUAAAAAAUAUUAUUUUAAUUAUUAAAACAUAAAACGUGAUCGACGUUUUGUUAAAAAAUAUUAUUUUAAUUGUAAAAAUAUAAAACGUCAUUGACGUUUUGUAAAUGAUCAUAGCAGUGUUUAACACAUAGUUUGGUCCAUCGUAGAGGAUUUCACACUUAGUAAUAUAAUAUAAAAAAGAAAAAAAUUCUUAUUUUAACACUUUAUUUUUUAACAUCAUAAUUAAAUGUCAAAAUUAAUAUAUAUUUUUGAUAAAUAUCACAAAUGUCAAAUUUUCUAUGUUUUUUUGAUAAAUAAUUUGACCGUAGAAAAUUACUCCUCAAUUUUGAUACUCAUUUGUUUUCAAUUUACUCCACUAUUUUUCUUCUUCUUUGGGCUCUGUUAAUUUUGACAUCACACUGCUCUCAGUUUAAGAUUAUACUACUCAUUCUUUAUCUUCAAAAUCUCAAUUUAUUUUUUAGUUUCAAGAUCUCAUUUUAUUCUUUGUUAAAAUUUUUUGUUAAAAAUAUUUUAUAAUCAAUAAGUGUCAAAGUAAAUAGUAUUUUUUACAAUUAAUAAGUAUCACAGAAAAUAUAUUCUCAAAAUUUUCUAACAAAUUAUUUGACAGCCAAUAUUUAUCAAAAUAAGAUUUAAAUUUUUUUCACAAUCACUUAUAUGUUAAAAAAUACUAUUUUUGACAAAAUUUUUAUUAACAUAUUUUCAUAGUUAAAAUAGUGUCAAAAUUUAUUUUUUUGACAAAUUUUAAUUUUCUUUUACACAUUAUAACCCUAAAAAAUAAUCUAUAUUGUUGUAGUGAUACAUAUAGUUUAUUUAAAUUUAAAUUUUUAGUGCUUAUCUUUUUAAUAUAUGUUUUUACUUUUUUCUUUUAAAUAUUUAUUACAUAUAAUUUUAAAAAAAUACUAAUGUUGUGAUUAAAAGUUAGAAUCAAGAUUCAAUUGUUUUUAAAAAAAUGAGUUAAUUUUAUAACUAUAAAUAUAAAUUUUUUUAUAUUAAUAUCUAAUUAUAUUUUUAUAUAUAUAGAAAAAAAUAUUAUUUUUAAAUAACAAGUAUAAAAAUUAAUUAUUUCUAUUUGUACAACAAACUUAAUAUCUAAUCAAAUAUAAAAAUAUACACAUUAAAUUAUUUUAAAGUUUAGAUAACGAAUGUUAAAAUUAAGUAAAAAAACUUAAACUCUUUCAUUUGAAAAUAAUAACUAAAAAAUUUAUUAUUUAAUUUUGUUUAAGAUUUUAGUCUUCUUAGUCGAUGGAGACUUUUGUCCCUUAAUACAAUUUUAUAAAAGUAAUUUAAUACUAAAAAUUUUUCAUGUCAUAAUUUAUAAUACUAGGACUUACGUAAUUUUAAAAGACUUAUAUUCCCGUUACGAAUAAAAAUACUAGUAAGUGAAAAUAAUGAUCAAUCAAUUUUGGUUCAUUUCAACUACUCUGUCUAUCUUUUCUGAGUCCUUAAUGUCUCUUCUAACGUAAUUUGCCGAAGACCUUUUCUUCAACCAGGUUGUUUCUUUUCUGCUUAGGGUUUUUUAUGCCUUUUUUUAUUAGGAUUUAGUAAUCAAUAUUUAAUUUAGGAUAUUUAUACUUCUAAAUUUGACUAAUUAUUAUUCAUUUGUGAAUGAAGGUGAAUAGUAGAGUUAAAAAUCAAAGAAUUUUAAAUAUGGUAAUUACAAAUGUAUUGUUUUCUAUUUAAUUAUUCUUCUAUCUUAGUUCAUAAUAACAAUAAAGAAGUAUUGUAGCUCAUAAAUUUAGUCUAACAGAAUACAUAAAUUCAGUUACAAUUUUAGUAUUUGUUUGGGCGUCACUGAAUCGAUAAAAAAUUAUUUUUUUUCAAUGAAAAUUUAUCUUUUUUUUAGUGUAUUUGGCAAAUUUCUAAUAGUAAAAGUAAAAAUACUAGAAAAAUAAAAAUAUCUUUUUUGAGAAGUUAUAAUUUACAUCUUUUUUUAAAAGAUAUAUUUUCCUUAAAAAAAGAUGUUUUUCACGUAAUAAAUGAACAAAAAAUACUUUUAUCUUAUUUUAUCCAAACAUAAUUGAUAGAUAAAAAGAUUUUUUUUUACAUGAGAUAUCCAAACAUAAAAUCACUUUUACUUUUGUAAAAAAUCUUUUUUCGAGAAUGGCCCAAACAAGCCUUUAGGUAGCGUUUAGUGGAGAGACAGAGACGAAAAGACUGAGACUGAGAGACAGAGACUAAGAGACAGAGAUUGAAAUAAAUCUCAGUAUUCUGUUUGGUGCAAAGUGGGAGACAGAAAUUGAAACAAGAAUAAAACUCUAAUUUAAUUUGUACAAAGGGUAAAAUUAGAAUUAAUUAAUUAAAAUGAGGAUAUUUUAGAUAUAAAAUGUUAUUAAAGUUUCAGUCUCCAUCUCUAAAUAUUUUAGUCCCCUGUGUCCCUACUUUUUGGAGGUACUGAAAUACUGAAAUUUUAGAGACAGAAAUUUUAGUACCAAUCUCUAAACCAACAAACAUAAUACUGAAUCUCAGUCUCCUAGUCUCUGUCUCCGUACUUCAAAACAAACGCUACCUUAGUCUUUAUUAUUUUAUCUUAUUUUAUCUUUAUCUUAUAUUUAUUUUCAUAUGCUAAUGCUCUAUAUAUAUAUAUAUAUAUAUAUAUAUAUAUAUAUAUAUAUAUAUAUAUAUAUAUAUAUAUAUAUAUAUAUAUAUAUAUAUAUAUAUAUAUAAUUUUACCUUCAUAAUUUACAAUUCAAUACAAUUCAAUCAAUCAAAAUUUCUUCAUCUUUUCUUUUCUUUUGCUAUUCUUUCACAAUUUUAUCACUUUCUUCCAUCAGUGUUUGGUUUAAAGUUAUAAAUCUAAUGCGUAAUGUUUUUUUUUUUUCAUGUAAGGCUUCUGAGAUUCCUAAUACGAAACAUGUACCAAGGCUAUUGCCGAAGAACAAGAAUCUAAAUUUGGUUAAUAAAAAUAAAAGGAUGCUAGGAUAGCUUUUGAAAACUCUGGAGGUAUGUUAAAAUUAGUUACUCUAUUUUGCUUUUAGAGGUAAUGAAAAUAGAAGGUUAUGAUUUAUAAAGUCUGGAUUUACUGAAUACAUUUAAGUUAUUGAUAGGUUCUCUUAAUGUUUCUUUCUAGCUAUUCACAACUACUACUUAUAGUUUUGCAAAUUAUUUUUCUUAUCUUCUAUAAGCAAGUUCUUUUGAUUUCGUAACUAGUGCUUACUUGGUUUCUAUAUUUUUAUAUCUUGUUUUUGGAAUGUUAGAUAAUUAAAUCAAGAAUAUUUAAAAAAGGAGAUGUACUCUAAUUUUGGGAAUAAAUACCAGAUUUAUGAACUUACUCUAAAAGCUAGAAAAAUUCAAUAAGAGAGUGACAAUGUCGCUAAAUAUCUCCACACAUUGAAGCGGGUGUGGUAGGAUCUUGACCACUUCAAUAACUACAAGUGAAAUUCAGCCGCUGAUGCCAAAUACCACCAACAAAUAGUGGAAGAAGGGAGGAUAUUCCAAUUUCUUGCAGACUUCAACGUGGAGCUAGAUGAAGUUCGUGGCAGAAUUAUUGGAAGAGUAAUUCUACCCUCAAUUGGAGAAGUAUUUGCUGAAUUUAGAAGAGAAAAAACUCGUAGAGCUGUGAUGAUGGGGAAAGGCAAGACUGAACAGACUUUUUUGGAGUAAUGGAGUCUAAUGCACUUUUAGUGGCACCUACUGCACUUAAAAGUUCAUCAAAUCAGAAGCACCCCUCCAAUCUUUGGUGUGGCCACUGGAAUAAACCUCGUCACACCCGAGAAACCUGUUGGAAGAUUCAUGAAAAAUCAGCACAUCUUAAAGGCAGUAAACCUGAUCCCAAAAUAUGCUCUACCUCAACUGCUCAUGAGGCUGAAAAAUCAUCAUUGAGUAAGGAACAGGUUGAGCAGCUCAUAAGGCUGUUAAAUUCUAAUUCUAUGUCUAGUACUCCAAGUGGUUCUUUGGCUCAAACAGGUAAUUUUAGUAUUCCUAUGUCUCUUAACUGCACCUCAAACUUGAAAGCACCAUGGAUUGUCGAUUCAGGUGCAUCUAACCAUAUGACCAGUCUCUCCCCUUUAUUUAAAACUUAUUCUCCUUACUUUGAAAAUGAGAAAAUUAGAGUUGUUGAUGGUAGUUUUUCAUCUAUUACUGAAAAAUGUACAAUUAAAUUGUCCAAAAAUAUUGACCUAAGAAAUGUCCUACAUGUACCAAAACUUUCUUGUAAUCUUCUCUCUAUUAGUAAAAUUUGCAAGGAUUCUAAUUGUGCUGUGACAUUCUUUGACACUCAUGGUAUUUUUCAGGAUUGGAUCUCGAGAAAGAUGAUUGGCAGUGCGAAGAUGAUGAAUGGACUUUAUCAUUUUGAGGAUAUUUUGGAGGAUAAAAUAACUCAAGAAUUUAGUGGUAUAAGUUCUAUGCCUAUAAAGGACCAAAUAAUACUCUGGCACAAUAGACUAGGACACCCUAAUUUUCCAUAUCUCACAUUUAUUUUCAAGUUUGUUUAAGAAUAUUGAUUCUUCCUUACUUAAAUGUGAAAGUUGUAUUCAUUCAAAGAGUCGUAGAACUCCUUAUUACUCUCAACCUUAUCAUGCAUCUAAACAUUUCCACUUGAUUCAUAGUUAUGUAUGGGGACCAUAAAAAAAAUAACUCAAUUUGGAAAAAAAUGGUUUGUAACUUUUAUCGAUGACCACACACGACUAUGUUAGAUCUAUCUCAUGCAUGAAAAAUCUGAGGUUUUUAAAAUUUUUCAGUAUUUUUCAACAAUGGUAAAAACACAAUUUGACACAAAAAUUUCAAUAUUAAGAAGUGAUAAUGGCACUGAAUACUUUAAUAAAAAUUUUGGUGAAUUUCUUCAAAAGAAAGGUAUUCAACAUCAAUCUAUAUGUCCCAAUACACCCCAACAAAAUAGCAUUGCUGAAAGGAAGAAUAAACAUCUUCUUGAAGUAGCACGUGACAUUAUGUUUGAGGGUAAUGUUCCAAAGUAUUUAUGGGGAGAUACUAUCUUAACAGCAACCUACCUCAUAAAUCGAAUGUCCACAUGUGUAUUAAAUUAUUGCACACCGUUGGAUACUUUCAAAAAUAAUUUUUCAGUAUGUAGGUUGCAUUCUGACUUACCUUUAAAAGUAUUUGGUUGCACUAUAUUUUUACAUACACCUUCAUAUCGAAGUAAACUUGAUCUAAGGGCAGAAAAAUGCAUUUUUAUUGGCUAUUCCCCAAGUCAAAAGGGUUAUAAAUGUUUCAAUCCACACACGAAGAAAUUUCAUGUAAUCAUGGAUGUUACUUUUUUGGAACAUGAAACUUUUUUUCAGAAAAAUUCUCUUUGGGAGAAGAGUCUAAGGGAAAAAAAUUUUCUACAUGAACCUUUACUCACUCCUGAGGAUACAAAUUUCAUUGAUCAAGUAAAUUCUGAAACAAUUACAAAACAAGAUGUGAAAACUAAUUCUGAAAUUGUGCCAGAAUUAGUUGAAAUCCAAACAGGAAAAAAAAUACCACAAUCAGAAAAGGAGCUUCAGUAUUAUGUUCAGAAAUAUCCCAAGAAGACUAGAGACCAGCCCAUCAUCUCUGUAUCAACCCAAUCCGAAAACUCGGAAGACGGCCCAUCUAUAGUACUUCAAGAACUUCUAGGUAAAUCUGAAAUUGUCAUUUCUAAUAAUAACUUUCCAAUAGCCCUUAGGAAAGAAACCAGAACCUGCACCAAAAAAGUACUCAAAACCAGCACUAACCAUCCUAUUUCAAAUUAUGUCUCUUACCAAACAUCUCUCUCAAAAAUAUUGAGCUUUUACUUCUAAAAUUAUAAAUCUGUUUGAGCCUAGGAACAUAGAGGAAGCACUAGAUGAUCCCAACUGAAAAUUAGCAGUGAUGGAAGAGUGGCAUGCACUCAAGAAGAAUGAAACUUGGGGGAUUGUAGAUCUGCCACAGAAUAUAAAAUUGGUUGGCUGCAGGUGAGUUUUUACCAUCAAGUUUGUUGAGUUAAGAAAUUAACUAAUUUCAAUUGAUGAUGACAAAUAUUUUUUAUUAGGUUAAUCAUCUAAUUAGUUUUUAAUUAUGUUUAAUAAAGCGAUGUAGGCCAAAAUUAAAAGAAACAACAACCCAAGUGCAAGGAAUCAAAAUCAUUGCUGGUGGAUCCUUCUAACCAACGAAGUCCAUAGAAAAUAAUACAAAAAAAAAAUCGCUAGGCUAAAUAAAACAAAUCCAACCCAAGCCCAUGAAGACUCUAUCAAGCUGAAGAAAAUCCAAGCCCAAGAUACUUCACUCAAGCUGAUGCCUUCCAAGCUCUUCACAUAUGCUUCGGUCAGACUCAGAGAAAAGAAAGAGAGAGCUUCGUUCCUCACUCAUUCACCAUAGAUGAAAGAAAGAGAAAGCUUAAUCCAAGAGGCAAAGGUCUAAUCAUCCAAAUCAAUCUAAAUCUAGCUAAGUUAGAAGUUAAAGGUGAUUUAUUUCCAUUUGCAUGCAAUUUACUUUCUUCACUCCUUCUCUAACUCUCUGCUACUCUAUUUUGGGAUAAAUGGAGAAAGUGAUUUUUGAUAAUCACUGCUGUGAAUCAAAGGUCAAAAUUAUUUCUUGGGGACAAAGUUGUAGCUCAAGAGUUCAGAUCUAGGUUUACCAUUGAACAACUUUUUCAUUGCUUCCCUGAGGCUUUCGGUCAAAUAAAAAGGCUCAGAUUCAAAAUUUCUAAUUUAGGGAUUAAUUGAAAAGGGUGAAAUGGUAAGUUGGCAGCACACAGCUCGAUGAGUUGACUCAAAAGAAAGCAAUUCAGCAACUUGAAAAGAGAUACAAAAGAAAGAUUUUCAAUUUUCUGAAGACAAGGAGAAAGAACGAGAGUCUAAGUCUCAUAGAGAGCUUCCUAAGAAAGGUCAACGUUUUGGGUAGUGCUAUCCAAAGAAAGAAGCAUUCCGCCAAGAUGAAGAACUUGAUUAGUGUUUGCUCAACCCGGUUCAUCUUAUAGCAAAAGAGGCUGUUGAAGCAUCAAUCUCCUUCAUAUUUUACAGAUUGUAAUUUUAUUUUCAAUGUAUAUCUUUCUGUAAUUUCUUGAGAGGUAAAAGGCUGAAAGAGAGAGCCUAAGAAAAAGACAAAGAGUGAAAAAAAGUUGAGUGAUACACUUGAGUGAAAAACUUAGAGUGAUUUCAGAUUUCUUUAGGUUGAGUUAAAUAUCUUGUGUCUUGUACCAGUGAAGUACCCCUUUCUAAGUUGGGUUAGCACUUAGAGUGAAGAGUUAGGUAUUAACAUAACCAAUUCAAGUUAGGAUAGAACUUGAGAGGGAAAGGAUUGUGUCAAUCCUUUGGAAUUGGUGUAUGUAAUACUUUAACUAUAGUGAAAAUUUCACCACUGUUGUGGUGAAAACUGAAUGUAGGUUACAUUGCACAAGGCAACUGAAUCAUGAUACAUGAUGGUGUCAGCUACUCUCUUCCUUUCUUUGUUCUGUUUUCUGACAUUUAUAAGACAAAACGAAAUUGUCUCAUAAACUUUUCGCUGCUGAGUUCAAAUAGAUUCAGAUUGAAAGUUUGUAAUUAAAGAGUUAUUUCAUUAAAGUAAAAGAAGGUCAUAGAUUCAACCCCCAUUCUCUAAGCCUUCUACAACCUUCAAAGUGCAAUGCUGAUGGAAGCAUAGAGAGGUAUAAGGCUAGGUUAGUAGUUAGGGGAUAUACACAAACCUAUGGAGUAGACUAUCGAGAGACUUUUGCUCCAGUUGCCGAACUCAGCUCUGUGCGAAUUCUCUAAUCUCUUGCUGCGAAUUACAAUUGACCUUUACAUCAAUUGGAUAUAAAGAAUGCUUUCCUGAAUGGGGAGCUAGAGAAAGAGGUGUUCAUGAAACUUCCACCUAGAUUUGAGGCUAAACUAAGGAGGAAUAAAGUGUGCAAACUAAAGAAAUCUCUCUAUGGAUUGAAAUAAUCCCCAAGAGCUUGGUUUGAACAACUUGGAAUGGUGGUGAAGGGACUUGGUUAUACUCAAAGCCAAGUUGACCAUACGCUUUUCUAUAAAUAUUCAGCAGCUAAUAAAACUGCCAUCUUAAUUGUAUAUGUGGAUGACAUUAUUCUGACAGGUGAUGCUUUUUUGGAGCUAAAAGACUUGAAGGAGAAGCUUGCCAAAGCAUUUGAAAUUAAAGAACUUGGUUCAUUAAAAUACUUUCUUGGAAUUGAAUUUGCAAGGUCUAAAGAAGGCAUUUUUAUGAACCAACGAAAGUACAUCCUAGAUUUUUUAAAAGAGACGAGAUUACUCACCUAUAGAGCCUAACUUAAAAUUGAAGCCAGCUGAACCAAAAAAUGUAAUGGACAAAGGGAGAUAUUAACGGUUGGUAGGGAGACUAAUCUAUUUAUCCCAUACACGUCCAGAUAUUGCCUUUGCUGUGAGCAUGGUAAGCCAGUUUAUGCAUUCACCUGGUCAAGAACACAUGUAUGAUGUCUUUAGAAUCCUAAGGUACUUGAAAGGGUCGCCUGGAAAAGGGUUACUCUACAAAAAGUAUGGACAUCUUCAAGUAGAAGCCUAUACAGAUGUGGAUUGGGCUGGGAAUGUCAUGGAUAGAAGGUCAACAUCUGGGUAUUGUACUAUUGUUGGCGGAAACCUGGUUAGUUGAAGGAGUAAAAAACAGUGUUGUGGCACGAAGUAGUGCAGAAGUUGAGUUUAGAGCAGUGGCUCAUGGAAUAUAUGAAGCACUAUGGGUAGAGAAAAUCCUACAAGAACUAAAAGUUUCCAUUUCUCCACCAAUGAGGUUGUAUUGUGACAACAAAUUUGCAAUUUUCAUUUCUCAUAAUCCAGUGUUGCAUGAUAGAACUAAACAUGUUGAAGUUGACAAGCAUUUUAUCAGGGAAAAGAUUGAGAGGACAGAUUUGCAUCUCAUAUGUUCCAACCACGGAACAAUUAGUAGAUGUCCUAACAAAAGGAUUAUCCAAGAAGACUUUUGAUAGCAUAAUAAGCAAACUGUCAAUGAAUGAUAUCUUCAAGUCAGCUUGAGAAGCCAGCUUGAGAGGGAGUGUUGACUAGAUCAAAUCAAAAUCAGAUUCUUAAUUCCUUUCUAAAAGAAUUAAUUAUAAAUCUUUUUUUUUUUUGGUUUAAUUUAAGUUUAGGGAUUUUAUGAUUAAAAAUCUUUUCUUUAUUUUAGGCUAAUAUUUUUUCUUUCUUUCCUAUUUUCUAGUUCUUUCUAUUUCUGUAAUUCCUCUGUAAAAAGACUGAUUUCCUGUACAUUUGAUAAUAUAAUAUAUUCAAACACUUCAACUAAAUCAAUGAAUGAAUGAAUCAAUCAAACACAGCAACAUUUAAGGCUUUCUAAGACCAACCAGAGAUAUCUUGAAGAUGUAAACAAAUGAGUUGCUCUUCAUAAGAAGAUACUCUCUUGAGAAGUUAGCUUUCAGAAGAUCCUUUUUGCUAACUCCAUACUUGUCAGUUGUUAAUGCAGCAGAGUGGUUCUUUGUCUUAUCAAAUGGAACUGCUAACUCAUCUCCAAUUUUCCUUGCUACAUGGAAGCUUUUAAAUGCCUCAGCAAAUUCAUUAGCCGUUACAAAACUAUAUGGUUUCUCUUUGUGCAUCAAAUACAUAUGUUUCCACAUAUCUUAUUCCAAAUUUUAUAAUUAGUAAUGAGAUGUAAAGAUUGGCCUACUUCUUGAAGGAAAUUUGCUGUGCCUUUCCUCUCAGGGCAUUUGAAUCCCAUGGACUCAAAAAAUUCAAGGACAAGCUCGUGGGGGUCCUUGGUAGACUAUUUGGCCAUUGGAGAGGAGGAUAUCAUUAAAAAGCACAUAUGUCUCUGGCUCUGGUUGCAAUUAGGCUAUAAGUGCAGUUCCCUUUAGAAUAUGAAUAAAUUUGUCUAAGGGCAUUUCAUGAUUUGAACAGUUGUGGAGCUGUCUAGCCCAGUAGAUAUGCCAUCCAUGAAUAACGCUUUUGACGGACCAACCCAUCUCCCCUAAAAAUAAAGCACAGAGAGGUUGAAAUAGAAUUACACACAAUUGAUUUACUAAGAGUUUGAUCACUACCUGUGGUAACACGCUUUUUUUGUCCUCCGGAUAUACCACACAACAUUUCGUCCCCUACUAGAGUAUCAGCACAUAAUUCUAAAUCCAAGAUCUGUAGAUCACAAAUUAGAUAAACAGUGGAAACCAUAAAAGACAGUAUUUAUGUCUGUGAUGUUGCAAUAUUGUGAGAAAUCAGAACUACUUGAAGUUGAAGAUGCCACCUUUAGUAUAUAUUCUGUUAUGUUUGUGAUGAUGAGAAUCUUGCUGCAGAAAACAUGAGUAUCAUGUUUGGCUGUGUUCGUCUAUGCAUAAUGCAGUUAUCUUUAUGUUUACUUGAUUAUUUUUUCCUUUUCAAUUUGUGUGAUGCUGGUGUGUGGCUCAAAAAAGAAGAAAUUAAAGGAGAAAAAUAAGUGUGUUAAAAUGUAAGCAUUUUUUUAUUCAUAAUUGUCAAAUAUAUGUGAAAUGUAUACCAGCUUGUUUUGCCACAAGAAUACAAGAUUCAGAUUUCUCUUUCUUCCACUCAGAAUUACAUAACUUUGAUAUGCUCACAAUACAUGUAUUCAAGUACCCCUCAAAUUCUCAAAAAUACAGCUACCCCUUUACGCUUUGGUGCCGGGCCUCGGGAAGGUGUACGUUCGCCACUUGCUAUAGUCGGUGGGACGGUUGAGUUUGGUUGUUUGCCACUUGCUGUUGUUGUAGAUGGUGGGGCAGUUGAAUUCGGUGCACUACUUGCCGUAGAUACUGGGCCGGUUGAGUUUUUCCUUAUAACUAGCCGCAAUGAAUAUGAGACAAUUGCAGCCAUUAUAAAAGACACCAAGAUCAUUCCCACGGACACGUACAUGUUGAUGUAGGCUGUUAAGUUAUUCAACAUACCACAAACAGAAAUUAUGAUUACCAGACGAAAACAACUAAACAAGUAAUUAUGCAUCGCUGAAAAUGAAAUUUUCUUUCAAAAAUAUUUUGUUGAAUCUGCCAAUAAAUAUCCGCGGUAUAACUUGUAAAUGGGUAGUUUAAACAAUUUUCUGGCUAAGGACACAAUUAUGCAACAGAAUAAACAUAAGCAGAACAAUAUAAAUAAGGGUAAAGUAAUAAAUUCGUCCCCUACGUUCCUUAAGGUUUAAAGUGUCCUAUUUGAAUCCAAAAAAAUUUCAUUUAACUUCAAUAUAGUCCUACCAUUAAGUAUUUUAGAUGGUGAAUACUAUGGUGCCUAAAAAGUGGUGUCUAUUUACUAAAAAGAGUCAAAAGUUAUUAUUUAAUUUAAAGGAUAUAAGAAUAAAUAAUUUUAAAAAAAUCAAAACUUACUACAAAAAGUAAGUUAGGCAAAAUUUAGGCAAAAACUCAUAGACACCAUAGAAUUGGCCAUUUUAGAUACUUUAAGCCUUAAAGAACAAAACAGAAUUACGUCCGGGACCAAUUUAGUAUUUUACCACUAUCCAAGACAAUAUAAACAAAACAGCAGCUCAAUUUACAGAAAUUAUCUACUAUCCAACAAUAUAAAUUCACAUAACAAAAUAAAAACAACACCAACAAUAUAAAAGCAGCCUCUCAAUUCACCAUAAUAAUAUAAAAACAGCAACAAAUCAACUAAGAGGACGCAACAAGGACGACAAGAGGUGGAAUGGGGUGCUCGAAGAGGGAGAGGGUAGCUUUUAGGGUUUCAUUUUUUUCCUUCAGAAAGCCAAAAACGAAAAAAAUUUACUCAAAAAUCAAAACAAAACAACAUUCUAGCCCUGUUAGCAACAAUGAACAACAAAGAAAAUUUACUCAGAAAACAACAAUUAACCCAGACAAACAACAAUCAACAAUUAAUAUAAUUAAAUCCAGGAAAACAGCAAUUAACUUCCAAAAAUGAAACUGAAGAAGCAGGGAUGGAUGGAGGCUUACCAACGGUGACAGUGACUGAGCUAGGCGAGAGAGAGAGCUCUUGAAGCCUUGAUCAGAGAAAGACGACGAGGACGGGAACAGAGACGAAGCAGAAAAACGCCCACGAAAAGCGAACGAGCGUGAGCGAUGGGGAUGAGAGAAGUCCACAACUGAGUUGAGGGCCGAGUAGACCUUCGAGAGGCGAAGGCGGCAACCGCUGGCUGUCACCGUCGGCGGCGGGGGAUGGCAUGCGUUUUGAAGCUUGAAUGUUGCUGCAGAUCUGAUAGGGUUUAGGGUAGGGUUUAGUUCGUUUGUGGUUCGAGAAGAGGGUUCUCUCUUAUUUAUGUACAUAUAGUAGGGAGUGUUUAUGGAUCGNNNNNNNNNNNNNNNNNNNNNNNNNNNNNNNNNNNNNNNNNNNNNNNNNNUAUUUGUCAUUAAAAUAAUAAAUCAAUGAAUAAAAUAGGCAAUUGAGAUAUUUUCAACUAAUAAUUAAAUCAAAUCAAAUCAAAUCAUAUAUAUUGACCUAAAUUCAAAUAAUGUGAAUUAAGGACUAAAUUAAAAUAAGAUCAUUUCUUACUUAUUCAAGUUGAAUGCAAUAAAUACAAAUUAAUUUUGUUAAAAAUCAUAGUUGUCUGAUAGAUGGCCACACAAAAUUAUAAAAAUCGUCAUUUUUAUCUCUUUUGCUAUUUCAACUCUUCUUUUUUUUCUUUUUUUUCUUUAUGUAUAAUUUAUUUUAUGUAUAAAUGUACCUAAAAUGAGAAAGUACGUAUGAGUGUUUUAUUGAUUAUUUCUUUGAUGAAUAUAUCUCAAUUUAAACAUUCUACCACUGGAUAAAAGUAUUCAAAGUGGCCAAUAUAUUUUUUUAUAGUAUUAAAUAGAAGAAUUUUACGAGUUUUUGUUAACUUAUCCAUCGUGAAAUAAUCUCGUACAUAUUUGUGAUGUAGGUUUUUUUGUCAUCUCUAGACAUAACGAAUAAUAUGACUAAAUAUUUUUGAAAGAUAAAUUUGAUUUAAACAAAAUUUUAGAAAUCAAUUUAGAACAUAAAUGAUCUUUCAAAUUAACCAUUUACUUUUACUAUUCACUAUUUACUAUUUACUUGCAUAUUUAUUUUAUUUUUUAUUUUUAAAAGUGAAAGAAAAGAGAAAAAAAUGUUGAUUAUUAUAUUAUAUUAUAAUUAUGGAGACCACUUUAAUAAAGGCAUUAAAAAUAUUUUUUUUAAGAUGUAUAUAUGUGUCAUGUUAUUAUUAGACAUCUUUAUUAACUGGUUAAUAAUUUAUUUUUCAAUAAACCAGAACAAAAUCGAUUUAUUAUAGCAACAAUAAUAAACCUAAUUGUCUGUAUUAUAAUUAUUAUACCCGGUUUGAUCUGAUCGAAUUACAUAAUCUAAAUCGAAUAUCUUUAAAUUUUUUGAUAAAAAGAUAAAUAUAUCUCUUGACUUUUUGUUUUGCAGACGUUUAAAUUCCUAAAAAUUUAAAAAUACAAUUAGAUUCCUGAAAAAAAUUGAGUUUAUUGUUAUUGUUAUAAAGAAAAUCAGUUUUAUUCUAAUUUGUUAAAAAUUAAAAAAUAAUCAGUUCACUAAUACGUCUAAUAAUAAUGUGGCACGUAAGCGUCUUUACAAAAAGAUGUUUUACGCGUCUUUAUAGAAGCAUCCCCUUGUAUUAUAAUUGAAUUAAAAUGAGGGGGCUAAGGAAGUUAUUCAUGUAUGAUGUAUGGAUUUAUAAUUGAAUUAAAAUGAGGCCGCUAAGGAAGUUAUUCAUGUAUGAUGUAUGGAUGAAGAUUGGAGAGUAGUAACUAAGGGUGCAAGUGAGGUUGGAUAAAAUUAGGGUUGUCUUGAUUUAGAUUUGACUUUAAAUAAUAAUUGGGUAUAUUUUUUAAAAUUUUUAUCCGGCCUUAAACAAAAUGAAAUCACACUAUUUUUGAGUUAUACUAAAAUCGGGUCUAGACCGUAUAAAGUCUAAGUGUUAAUAAAUUUUAUGUCAAAAAAUUGAUAUACUUAUUUAUAAUAUAUAUACUUAUUACCAAGAAAUUGAUAUCCAUACUUGAAGUUGAAUUGGUCCAUAAAUUUUAAUUCUAUACUUUAUUUAUUUAUUUUUUAAUUCAACAAAUAUGAUUAAACAUAAAAGAAUAAAUUUAGAAUUAAUAUAACAUAAUAUUAGAAUUAAUUUAAAACAUAUAUAUCUUAGUUAAUCUCUCUAAAAAAUAUAUGGGAUAGAUGAAGCCAAAUUCGUCUUGACCCGAACUUGAUAUAAAAUAAUAAUUAGGUCUAUUUUUAAUAUUCUUAUUCGAUCUUAUACUCGAUAAAAUCACACUAAAUUAAUCUUAAAAUAUUCAAAUCCUAGCCGAAUCUUUGAAUUUGUCCAAAUCAUAUGCGUCCCUAUUAGUAACCAAAAAUAGCCGACCAUUCAAACAAAAAAAAUUAAGCGCUUGACUAGGAUAGUAGUCAUUAGUCAAGCACCCCAUCAUUUAGAAAAUAGUCUCGCAAUUUUUUUAUUUAAAAAAUACCAAAUUAUCAACAUUUUUUUCACUUUAGAUUUUUGGUAACUAUAUUCACUUUUUUUUUUUUUACCAAAAAUAGGAGACUCGAACUUGCAACCUCUUAAUUGAGUAUGAAAAGACUAUGCCAUUUGAGCUAUUACUCAUUGGCGACUAUAAUCACUUAGAUUUGAAUUAGUAUUAACCAAUUAUUUGUUUUUUCUAUUAAAAAUAUUGGCGACUAUAAUCACUUUAGAUUUGAAUUAGUAUUAACCAAUUAUCUGUUCUUCAAGAUACAAGGGAGUCCCCUAACCUUGAGUCUCUAGACUUCAAACAGAAAUAUGAUAAAUCUCAUUCUCACUUUGACCCCUACCAUUUUUUAUCCUGUGCGGCCUAUGAGUUUCAUACUCAAGUUCUUGCAAACCACAAUCUCUGUGCAUCUUUUGUUGUUGAUCUUGAAGUCUUAUCUGAUAAAGGAAUCGAUUUUAAAACAAACUUUCAGGAUUUGAAAUAGUCUCCUAUUUUCAAAAUUUGAAAACCAUUUUAUCCGAACUUGGUAUGCAAAUUUUAUGAAAAUGUGAUUUUUUAUGAAGGAGAGUUUCAUUCGUUUGUUAAAAAUACUCAGUUUGUUUUGAGUUCUGAAACCAUAAGUGCUGCCCUGGAGUAUGAGAACUCAGGGGGUAAGGGCAUAUAUGUCUGGCAAGUGGGAUAAUCAUGUUGGCAUUUUUCAUCAAGAUGUCCUAGCUCGAGUUUGUGAAAACUUCUCUUCUAUGGAUGGUAAUAUUCCCACACAUAAAGUCCUAGGACCUGUUAGGGCUCUACUGCACCAUAUCAUCACUCACAUUAUCAUGCCACAGAGCGAAUCAUACCAGAGAGUAACUGUCUGUGAUACUCUCGUACUCUAUGCUGUUUUAAACUCCAUUCCCAUAUAUUUUGCUUACCUUAUGAUAUGUCAUAUGUGGGAUUGUGUGAAAAGUGAUAAAAAGAGUACCUUGCCAUAUGGAAUGUUUUUAACUUGCUUGUUUGAGUAUUUCAAUAUUGAUUUGAGUAAUGAACAUGUUGAGAACAGAGUGUCCACAAUCAAAGGUGGUGGUGUACCGAAACAUGCUAAAGGUAAAAAGGUAAAAGGCUUUAAGGCUCCAGCCUUGUCUGAAAGUGAGGAUGAAAGUCUUCCAUCUCCCUCUGUUGCUGGAACAUCUGAUUCCUACAAAUAUCUCUUCUCUGAAAUGGUUAAAGAUGUUCUCUUGGAAUUUGCUACCAUGUCCAAGCAAAUGGUAAAACCCAGCAAAGAAGCUAGAAAUCUUGCAUUACAAAAUGAAAAGGCUUGGCUAAAAUCUCAUGAACGGGUAAACUUGCUCUUAAAACAUUUGGAUUCCGUUAAUAAGGACAUGGCUCCCUCCGAGAAAGAAGAUGAUGUUCUGGAAUCUGAUGAAGAGAUCUCUGAUGCCUAGUUUGCUCCCUGCUGCUGCUGACUACUCCUUAUUUUUCUCUCUCUGAAUUUGAAAUUGUGGACUUUUCGUUUGUCUUGAACUUUGAUUUAUGUUAGAUGACUAUAGCUAACUUAAUUUUGGUACUAUUUCUUUGUUAUGCAUGACUUAUCAUUUUGGACUGCAUUGUUUGAUCUAUUUUACUUGCAGGUGUCCCUCCUUGAUGACAAAAGAGGAAAAAAAGAGACUGAAUUAAAACAGUUUUUUGUUUUACUAUUGAUGUCCUGUUUUUGUUAUUGGUGCUUUGUUUUUUUACUGCCCUGUUAUUGGCUCUUAUUGAUGCUCUAAUUUGGCUCUGUUUUGAACACUCUAUUUUAAUGGAUUGAUUUCAGUUUUGAGCUUUGAUUGUUCUGACAAAAAUAUUUUUUGCUCAAAUGUAUAUGGGCAGUUUGGCUUAUGGAGCGUCAUUAACUCCUGUUCUUAAAUAAUUCUGUGUGCUUUGACUUGUGAAAAAAUGACUCUGUAUUAAAAAGCUCCAAUUUUUGAAAUUUUAAUCAUCCUUUAGGAAUCUUUUAGAGCUUGUAUAUAGGCAUUAUUUCUAUGAAUAUGUGUGUUAAUCAGGUUAAUCAAGCACAUAUUGAGGGGGAGCUUAUUGAACAUAUGAAAAGGGGGAGAAAUCUGUGAAUCUUCAAAGGGAAGUACUUUAUCUUAAUGUUUUCAAUUCAGUUUUAAUAAUGUUUGUCAUCAAGGGGGAGAUUGUUGAGUUUGGAAAACUUAUAUUAGUUUAAUAUGAUGAAUAAAUAUUAUUAAAAAGUGUUUAAUAAAUUGUUUUCAAUUAUUUGUUUGAUGAAUUUAGUGAGUGUGCAGGAAAAGCAACUUAAUUUUCAGAGUGGCCAAGUUUAACAAGCCCAACUUGAUCAUUAAAUAAAUUCAACUUUGUGCAAAAAUUAUUUCACAACAAGUGGCUGAACCUUAGACUAAGGAAGAAUAGACAAGUCCAAAUCACAAGUCCAUGAACCAAAAUGGAUGAUUCAAAGAAAGGAACCAAGGUUCUCAAAGCAUGCUUCGGUUACUCCAUCCAUUGGUAAUUGGAACUUAGAAUUCAAUUUGAUUUAAUUUCAAUCAAAGCUUUCACCGAAUGUUUCUCUCUUCUCCCUCCUCUCUGUUGCUUCGGUCACAUCACGUGUUCAUCCAAGAAAAAGAAAGAAGAAAAUAGAAGGUUCAGAGAUCAGAUUUUGAAGAUAAAUCAAAGCAAGAAAGAAGGCUUUGGUUAAGAAGCAAAUCUAUCUUGGUGAAACACAACAAAAAGUUUUUUUCCUCCUUUGUGCUACACCGAGGAUCAAAGAAGAAAUCUUCAAGGUCUCAAGCAUGGAAGAGGUAACAACGAAGAACGUGAAGCCUAUAUGGUUCAAAGGCACAUCGAUGGUCAAAAUCAAAACUUGGGACUAAAGUCAAGCUCAAUGGUCAAGAUUGAAGAAGCUUGAAGAAAAAGGAUGAGAGAGAAGAGGUAAGCAUGCAUGCAACAGCUUCGGUCCUCUCUCUCCUCUAUUGUAGCCACUGCUACUCUGAUGUUUGAGAAGAAGUUGCUGUGAGGGUUGAACUUGUUUCAACCUUGGAAGUUUCACCCUUCUAUAUUAAGGGUGAACGGCCAAGGGUUGAAGGCAAGGAGAGUAAGUGAAAAGCACAAAGUUCACUCUCAUAGCUACCCAAGCUGUUAGAGUUCUUCUCCUUCAUGUAGUUUAUUUUGUAUUUUCUUUUUCUCAGUUUGGAUCUGUCUGAGUCUCAUUGUAAAAUGCAAACAUGGUGAGGUUUGUAAGAAAAAGCCAAUGAAAAGUAAACGGUAGUAAGUUAAAACAGUGAGAAAAAGUCAUAAGAUGUCUCAGAAGUUCUUUGUACAUCUUUCUAUUUUAUGUCAUGAUCCUGUGGAAAUUUUCUUACAAGUUGGGUUAGCACUUUGCAGUUGAAAGUUAGAUUGAGGUCUAGUCAAAUUCAGGUUGGGGUUAGAAUCUAGAUUUGUCCCAAAUAGGAUUGGGUAGAUCCUAGAGAAGGAAUUGGUGUUUGUAAUUUGUUAAAGAUAGUGAAAUUCUGUCACUGUUGUGAUGGAGAUUGGAUGUAGGCUACAUUGCACCUUGUAGCUGAACCAUGAUAUAUAUGGGUGUUAUUUCUUCUUCCCUUCUACUUUUCUGUUUCUGUUACUAAGGAGACAAAAAUGAAAAUGUCUCUCAGUUUACCACGAGAGAAAAGUGAAAAUAUCUCCUAAGUUCUCUUAAGAAAGAAAAAGCAAUAUUCAGUAGAAGAAGUAGCUAAGAUUCAACUCCCCCCUUUUUUGAGCCACUGAUAACCAUCACACCAUAUUAGAAUCUAAAAUACUCCGAAACUUUGAACAAAAUAAAUUCAUCAAAAUAAUAAAAUCAGAUUCAAAACUUGUACAUUACAUUCAAAUUCAAAUCAUCAACUAUGAACAAUAAUUUUCACAAACAAAAACAAAAUUAUUCAACUACAGAAUCAUAAACAACUAACAAACUACAUUACCUAGAUUCAAACUGACCUUACCACUUGAUUCGAUUUAAAACAAUAAUACAAUUCAGCUUGGUUCAAUUGAAAGUCUAAACCUAAAAACACACCGCAAGAUUACCAAAAUACACCAAUUUGUAAAUAGAAAUACACCGAAAUAAGAACGAGACAGAUUCAUCACAAUAAUAAUUCAGAUUCAGAACUCCUGCCUUACAUUCAAUUCAAACCAUCAAUUUUCAAAGAGAAAAACAACUUUAUUCACCUACAGAAUCAUAAACUACUAACGAACUACAUUAACUAGAAUCGAACCAGACUUCAGCUACUUAGUUCAAUUCAAAACAAUAAUCCACUUCGCUCUGGUUCAAUUGACAGUCUGAACUUGAAUCAUUCAUUAUCUUCGAUAACGACAUAUCUGUUUAAACCUGAUUUCACAGCUUGAUGUCAAAAACUUUGAUCCAAAUCUUCAAAUCAGAUAAAAGAGCAUUGAACUUGAACGAAAAGAACAUAGAGAAGGAAGAGAAACACAUAGAAUGCAGAGAUGGAACAGAAUGUAGAGACGCAGAAAACAUUGAGAAAAUUCGAGAAAAGAAACAAAAUUCACAUAAAAAAAAAGUUAUAUACAUUCGCACGUUGAGUUAAAAAUUUGUUAUAAGUAGUUUAUUUUUAAUAAGUAGUUAGUUAAUAAUAUUUAAAAAUAUAGAAUAAAAAUAUUAUUUGAUUAUCAUAAAUAAAAUAAAAUUAAUUACUAAAAAUACUAAAAAAAAAUGUUCAUUCUUGAAUAUUUUUCGUAGUAAUAAUACUUGAAUACACAAAAGAAAUAUAAAAUACUGCGGGAUAUAAUUAAUUUAAAGGUGAACAAAUUAUUUUAAGGGGUAACUUGAAUUAUUCAUUUAUCUAUGGAAAAGUAUAUGGAACCAAAAUGUGAUCAGCCAAAAAGUAAACAAAAUUGUUUAAUUAAAAUCACUUUUUGAAUAAUAUGUUUGAAAAUCGCUCCUGAGAUCACGGAGUACAAACAAAAACCCGAUUUCUUAUAGAACCCAAACACAUUUUGACUGAUUUUUUGCUGCUUUUGAUUCCCUAGUUGUUCUCUUUAUCUAUUUAUGAUUUUUCCUUUUCAAUACAACAACUUACACAUUUUGAUACAAACCCCUUUGCAAGACCCAAUCUUGUAUCAUUGUCUGAGCAUUAACAGGCUGGUCAGCAGGCAUAAGAUGGCCACCACCCAAGACAACAACAUUGGUGAGUGACUUCCAUUGUUGGACAUAGCCAGCAAGCUCUCCAUUCACCCUCCAUAUCUUCCUCUCUGCAUUCACAUACUCCUCAAUCCCUUCCCAUUUCAUAGUAUUCACCCAUGCCGCAGUUUGAACCGGACCAGCAACCAAAUCGAGUUGACCUUGGUACAACAACACCCUAAUAGUGUUGCUCUUCAACAACCCCUCCACCAUAAACUUCACACUCUUCAUUAUAUCUCCUAGCAAUGCUUCCCCAACAUUACUGCUGCUCGAUUUAAACACUUGAGGUUCGUUCACGCCCAAUGCCUUCUUCACUUCAGCUAUAUUCAAGAAUUGAGUAACCCAAUCUUGAUAGUGAUAAGGAUGAUCUUUCCUUGUGUAAUCAUACAAAGUAGCCAGCCCUGACAUGUUUUGCAACUUCCCCUGGAGUCUUCGCCAUGCAAUCGUUGCUUCACUCCAAUGCUGAAUCUGUGCCAACCUAACUACUUCCAGUUGAUCCUUCUCCAACUCACUCUUUUGCCUCUCAUUGAUUAGACCCUCAUAAUAAGCAUUAGCCGGAUGCGUGCGUGAUUGGGUCACUGCCUCAAUUAUUCCAUUCCCAAUAGCCACACCAACAAGAUUCACUCUUUUAGAAGCAUGCAACUGUGCAUUUCUUUUCAAUAUGUAAUUUCCAGUUGUAGACGCAUACUUUCCUCCAUAACUUUGGCCAACAAUAUAAAUAGGGCGGUGUUUGUAAACAGGAUCAAGUUGAAGAAACCUUGUAAGAGCAACAUAAAGGUGUUUGGCAAUACCUUCUUGAUUCGUUGGGAUCUCUUGCGGUGAUGAGGCUAUACUGAAUCCAGUGCCAAUGGGGUUAUCAAGAAAGAGAACGCCAAAGAACUUGUUCCAAGCACCAGGGUUGGGUUCAAGGGUGAUGGAUUCUGUGAUACGCCAUGGUCCAACAGCAUAGAGGCUGCCAAUCAUGGAGGAGCUUCCAGGGCCACCUUGGAGCCAAAUGAGAAGCGGGGUUUUGGAGAGAGGCAAGGUCGAGUUCUGAGCUUCAUAGAAAGUGUAGAAGAAGGCGGAAGAAGAGGUUUUGCUGACAGAAAGGUAACCUGAUUUUGUGGGGUGAGCUUCUUUUGGAAACAGUGUGUUUGAUUUGGAAGAAUUCGAAGAAGCUGAUGCAUGGGUUUGAAUGCAUAAGCAAAAGGAGAUAAAGAAGAAAAGAGUAUUCAUGAUGAUGACAAAGUAAAUUGGAACGUGAAUCCAAGGGUAAUAUUUUGGGAGUAUAUAUAAGCCCGGAUUCGUUUGAUUAUUCGAUAAAAUAUCAAGGGUACUUCUAUGGUGGUACGGGAUCGUUUGGCUAAGAGUGACUGAAAUUUGAAUGGCCAAUGAUAUGAUGACAGGUGGCAAGGGAAAUCUCUGGAUGGAGUAGCAGUGGAUUAAGCUUAAGUGUGGUAAAGUUUGGAGAGUUUACUGCGUGGGCAAUUUUGGAAAUUUUCAGGCCAAAAAAUCGUUUCUGCAACGUGCAUUAUUAGCUGCGUGGACAAAACGGGAUGAAAUAAAAGUUGUUAGGUUUGGAAAAAAGUUGGUGAAAUGAAUGAAGCUGUUUUUUGACAAUAAAGAAUAAACUAAGAUAGUUACCAAAAAAAAAUAAUAUAAACUAAGAUGGAGAGUGUCAACAAAAAAUUGGAGACAAGGAGAGUUGAUAGGAAAAAUAUGGUUUUUAUUAGGGCCAGUACACGAAUUGGAUCGGAUCAGAUUUAAUAUCUAUAAUUUUUGUGUUUGGAUCUUAUCGAUUCGAUCUGCACAUUUGCGGAUAGGAUUAGAUCGGAAUUCGGAUAUAUCCACAAAAAUAAAAAUAUUUUUAAUUUUAAAAGAAUCAACAAAAUAAAAAAUAAAAACUAGAACCCAAAAUUCAUAAUUUGGCAUCAAUGUUUAUACUAAAAUAUAGGGGUGUGCAUGGCCCGGCCCGGCCCAAAGACUCGGCCCGGUCCCGAACAUUUUUGGGGCUAAUUUGAUAUGAUUUCAUCGGGUCUAGGGUCGGGUAUGGGUCUCAAAAGUAGACCCGGUCAUUAUUUCGGGUCGGGUCCGGGCCAUAGCUCGGGUCACCCGAAAUCGGCCCGGUGGCCCGGUCAUCAUACACAAUUAAUAUUUUGUGUUAUUAGUGAUGGAUGAUGGCUAUUAUUAUGUGAAAUUUAAGUAUUGUAAACCUUAAUAUUUUGUGUUAUUAGUCAUUAUAUAUAAGACUAUAAGUUAAUGUUUUAUGUUUAAAAUGCAUAAGACUUUAGACUAAUGCAUAAUCUUGUGUUAUUUGUAUUGAUUUAAAUAUUUGGUGUUAUUAGGCAAUAUUAGUAUUGAUUAUGGUUAUACUUUAAUAUUAGAGAAGAGUUAGUUCUUAUUAUAUUUUUCUAAGUGAAUUUUACCAUGUCAAAUAAUGGUUGGAAUCUUGGAAAUUUGGAUAUUUUUAUAUGCUAACUUACAAGAAGGUAUCAAGGUAAUAUAAUGUUAACGGCCCGGUUUUCACCCGGUUUUUACCCGGUAUAAUCGUGGCCCGAAAGUGUAUAGGUUUCAUCGGGUCUAGGGUCGGGUUCGGGUCUAACAAAUAGGCCCGGUAUAUAUUUUGGGUCGGGUCUGUGUCACACCAAACCCGGUUUCAUCCGGCCCAUGCACACCCCUACUAAAAUAUAUUAAUUACAGCCAACACAACAAUAACAAAAGUAUACAUUUUAAAAAUUAAAAUCACGUUUAUUCUAAUAAUAGAAACAAAAACAGAAUCAAAUCAAGAAACAAGCAUAAACAAAUCUGCAUUUCAAAAAUAAAAAAUCAACAAAAUAAAAAAAAUAGAUUUGGAAAUCUAAUUGUGCAUCCACCAAAAGCUCUGGACUCUUCCUAAAUCUUGAACAAGCCAACCCAAAACAACCAUGGCUAGUUACUCCAUCGAUUUUAGGCAUAACUUGUGUGCAUUGCACUUCCAAUGUUACCACGUUCUUUUUCAAUAAUUACUGAUUUGUUUAAUUUGUUAAUUAUUUUGGUUUAGCAAUGGAUAACAUUUACCAUCCCUUCAUCAUCGAAUUUAGUGUGGUCAUCCGAGUCAACUACUUUUGGUCUUCUACCCCACACAUGCUAGUUGUCAUGCUCGGAUUGGCUAUUCCGCUUUAACCAACUUAGUCACGUUUCUCAUACAUUCACCAUAGACGUCACCCGUGUUUAAUUACAUUAAAACGUUUAACUUGCAGCAAAAUUUAUUAUUUUUAAUUUGUAUUUUUAGUUAGAGAGCCACUUAGAUAAAGAUGUCAAAAACGUCUUUUUUUAAGAUAAUUUUUAAAAAUUAAAAUUAAUUUAUCUGACCUAAUUUUGACAAAAAUAACAUAAUUUAAAUGAUUAUAUGUGUUAAAUUUUAAUUAUUAAAAAAUAUCUUAAAAAAAGACGUUUUCUACAUCUUUAUAGAAACAUCCUCUUUUAGUUAUCCGUCUUUUUUUUUGUUAGUAAUUUAUCAAUAUAUUUUUAGCUUUAGCCUACAUUUUAAAUAUUGUUGGUUAACUAUUAACUAAAAUAAUAAAUUCUACUAAUUUUAAAUAUAUAAUAAUAAAUAUUAUAUAAAUAAAAUUAUAAAUAUUAAAGUAAAUAAAAUAAUUUUAUUUAUUAUUUUUUUAGUAUUACCAUAUUUAAAAAAUAGAAAUGCCACGUUGUGUAUGUUCUCAAUGCAAGUUGCAUUGCUGUGGAUUAUAAAAUAAAGGAAUAUUAAUUGGGAACGUUUAAAUAACAAAUCAUGUUUAGAUGCAAGUUGCAUUGCUGUGGAUUAUAAAAUAAAGUAAUAUUAAUUGGGAAUGUUUAAAUAACACAUCAUGUUUAGCAAAUAACUUAUAAAGAUACUUUAAUGCCCAAGUCAAAAUAGAUCUGAGAGGUUAAGUGAGUGGGAUGAGAAACAUAUCUGACGGGGCCUCUGACUAUAUAGCUCGAGAUAAGAGGAAUAUUUGAUUUUAGAGAAAAGGACAAAUAGGUUCCUGACCUUUUGUCCCGCGGAUAUUUUUGUCCCUGACCAUUGAAAAAUACUUUUAAGUCUCUGACCUUCACAAAACUUGGACGGAUCAGUCAUUCCGUCCAAAUGCCUCCGUUAGGGGCUGAUCCGUCCAAAUGUCUCUGUCAGGGACUAAUCCGUCCAAGUUUUGUGAAGGUUAGGGACUUAAAAGUAUUUUUCAAUGGUCAGGGACGAAAAUGUCCGCGGGACAAAAGGUCAGGGACCUAUUUGUCCUUUUCUCUUGAUUUUAAAUGUUGGUUAGGAAUUAUAAGACCGGUUUGAACUUUGAAGGGAGUCUUGGCCCAGGUAAUUGGGUUGGAGCCAACUCCGAGUUAAGGACCUGGGAACGGGGUCCGUAACAGUUGCCCCUUGAGCAAGAGAGUGAGCGUGCUCGGUUUCAUUGCUGAAGGAGCUUUUGGUUGCCGUUGCGUGGCUUGCAAGGAGUGUGUCGUCCCGGUUCCUUGGUCAAAGUCGAGGAUUCGGGGAGCGCCUGACUAUUUCGUGCUGGGCCAAGAACGUGUCGCUCGGGUUCCUCAGACGAGAGUGCCUAGGCGUUUCGUGGUUUGUUCGUUGGUUUUUCUAAUGGGGGUAUUCGCUGGUUUGCGGUUUCUUAGAUGCCAUAAUGACAUUUAAUGCCAAGGGAGAAUUUUCCAAUUUUAUCCUUCAACUUUUCGUAUUUCAUUUGAAACGUUGGAAUUUUGCUUGUAAUCAUGCCUUUUUGCUUUAUAACUCCCUGGCCUCUACUUCUCGCAUUUUCUCUUAUUGCGUACUUCCUUCUUGUUGCUUGCAUUUUUGGCUGAUUCCAUUCGCGUGUUUGCCUUUCUGUUUAUCGCACUGUGUUUCCUUCUUUGCUUACUUCAAACAAUAAGGUAUGUAUUCCCCUCCAUCUGCUUGCUUGCCUACUUUAUUUUUCUGUGUUUGCAUUGGAUUGCUCUCUGUUUUACAUUUCUCCAUUUUGGAUUUUUUUUUUAGUGCUAGUGAUAGAGAAUUAGGAGGUGUGUGCCACUACUUUUGGCAUGGUCCUGUGAUGAGUAGGAAAGGAAAAGGUUGUCUUUUGGGCUUCCUUUUGGGUGCACUUUUGUUACAAUAAAAAAGUAGGCUUAAUAUAUUAUGGUUAUAUAUAAAAAAUUUUGUAUAAAAUAACACAUGUUUAUGCUUAACUUUAGAAAAAUGUUAGGGCCAAUACUUUAAAUUGAUACUUUUUUAUAAUAUUAAAAUUUUAUAAUGAAAUUAAUAUUUAGUGUUUUAAGUUUNNNNNNNNNNNNNNNNNNNNNNNNNNNNNNNNNNNNNNNNNNNNNNNNNNNNNNNNNNNNNNNNNNNNNNNNNNNNNNNNNNNNNNNNACCAUUCUAAACAAUCUUCAGUUUUACUAAAAUAAAAUAUUUCUCCCUACUUAUAUAAAACCUUCUACUUUGGAGAUAAGAUCUAAACAAUCUUCAGUUUUACUAAUAGAUUCUUCAUUGACAAGAACUCUAUUGUCCAUAGUAACAAAUAGUAUGUGUAAUUAAUGACUAUCAAAUGAUUCAUGCACCAAUAUUUGAUUUCAUCAUGCUUCCUCGGCAAUCAUUUAUAUAACAUAGAUUUAUUACAAUUCUAGCAUACUCUAAUGUAAACGGAUCCACCAAUAAUCUAACACAAAUUGUUCAGCCAAAUCAGCUUACAUCACACUUUAAUUCCCAAAGAUCGUACCUAACAAAAAGAUAAUUUAGAAAAUAUAUUAAUUAUUAUUAUAUUCUGUUCUUUAUUAUAGUAAUUAAUGUUUGAUUGAAUAAAAUUUAACUUUUUUUUUCAAAAAAUUAUAUUGUAAACGGGAAAUAAAAAGACAAUAUUUUUCUAUUAUUGAUUCGAUAGCUAUUAAUUCAGCACAUAUUUUUGAAGAUAUAAAUUUAUCGACUACUAGAAUGUAUUUACCCAACAGCGACACAUAAAGUGGCCAAAUGUUAACUUUUUUUUCGAUUAUGAAGGUAAUCUUCUAUUAUACCAAGAAUUUAACUUGAUAGUUUACAAAAGAUACGAAUUAUUAAUAAUAUAUCAACAUAUAUGUUUUUAUUUUUUAUAACUUUUUAUUGAUUGUAAUUGUUAAUGUUUAUGACGAUUCAAUGUUAGACGGUGAUUUAGAAGAUUACUUUAUACCAUCUUCAAAAAUUUUAGACGGUAUGUACAAAGUUUAUUUGACGUUUAUUUACAUCUUUGUGUACAUCAUAGACUAAAUUGCAUCAAUAUGAUAACUGGGUAUUUAAAAAAAGUGCAUUUAGCAGCUGUGUGGAAUAUAAAAGAUCUUAUUUAUCAAUAUCAACACUGUAAAAUAUGGAUGUAGUCUCAUGAAAGACUUGCUAAAUUUAACCAGUUACUCUGCAACUAACAUUUUAUUAUGUUGUAUGGAAGGGAAGAUUGAGCUUCAUCUAUUAUCUAUACCUGAGCUUAUUCAACUUCAUACUAAGGGAGAUCAAAGAAGAGCUUAUUUUCUGAAAAAUAUAAAGGUAUUUAAUUCAAUAUUUUUUUUACAUCAAUAGCCGAAAAAUUGAUUGUGGGGUGAACAAUAGGACUCUCCCCCAGUUCAAUUUUAAGCUGGGAGGUUAAAACUACCAUAGCAUUGGUAGGCUACUUCCUCCGAAUAAUCUAUGAUCAUAUUUGUUCAGCUAUAUAUCUAUGACACAAAAAAUGAGAUUGAUAAUCAGAUAGGCACACUUCAAUAAUUUUUAUGCAACCAGUCAAACACUUUAGUUAUGUUUAAUCUAAAAGAGAAUAACAUAAAUUUUAUCAUAUCUUCUUUUAUGCAGUUCCAAUAAAGCUAUAAAUGAGCGGGAUAGAAAAAUUGUAAUAAUAUUAAGAAACAUGCUAGACAAAUAUAAUAGUUUGGCAAUAAAUUUUCGCUAUGCAAGAGAUAGGUACCAAAAGAAAAAUUGCAUAGACAUAAAGUUUAAGUUGAUUAGUAAAAAGAAUACAAAUAGCAGCACGUAUAAUUUACCUUCUGCAUCUGAAGUGAUUGCAUUCAUAGUAGCUAGAAUCUCGAUUUAACUCUUAAAAUCUUCCGAUAUUACGAUUUUAAAUGAGUUUUUCGAUUUUACAAAAUUUGUACUAAGUCUGACGAUUUUACGAUUUAAAUCUUGUUAAGAUUUUACGUUUUAACGUUUUUUAUUUAUUUUUUCGAUUCUACGUAAAAUCUCGAUUUUCUCUACCUUGAUUGCAUUGAUUAUUUGCGAUGUCGAACAACUAAGUAAAAAUAGGGUAUAGAGAGUCAAUCUAAAAAACUCCAAUAGAUUAAUAUUUUUCACCCAUCUUAUUUAUCCUUGCAAUAUCCAUUACUAUUUUUUCAUGGAGAGGAUAGAUUUCGUCUGGGUAUUGCAACAUUAGAAGAAUAUAAUUCAAUGUUGUUUUACAUUCUCUACUACCAACGCAAUAAUGAAUAAAUAAAUAUAAAUAGAGAUCAGAGAAGAGCUUAUUUUCUGAAAAAUAUAAGGACAUUUAAUUCAAUGUUUUGUUUUAUAUCAAUGGCCGAAAAAUUAACCGUGGGGUAAACAAUAGGACUCUCCCCCAAUUCAAUUUUUAACCUUGGGGUCAAAACUACCAUAGCAUUGGUAGUCUACUUCCUCCGGAUAGUCUAUGAUCAAUAUUUAUCCGGCUAUAUAUCUAUGACACAGAAAAUGAGAUUGAUAAUCGAAUAGGCACAGUUCAGUAAUUUUCAUGCAACCAGUCAAACACUUUAGUUAUUUUUUUAAUCUAAAAGAGAAUAACAUAAAUUUUAUCGUAUCUUCUUUUAUGCAGUUCCAAUAAAACUAUAAAUGAGCGGAAUAGAAAAAUUGUGACAAUAUUAGGAAAUAUGCUAGACAAAUAUAAUAGUUUAGCAAUAAGUUUUUGCUAUGCAAAAGAUAGGUACCAAAAGAAAAAUUGCAUAGGCAUAAAGCUUAAGUUGAUUAGUAAAAAGAAUACAAAUGGCAGAAUGUAUAACAUGCCUUCUACAUCUGAAGUAACUGCAUUGAUUAUUGGCGAUGUCAAACAACUAAGCAAAAAUAGGGUGUACAUAGUCAAUCUAAAAAACUCCAAUAGAUUGAUGUUUUUCACCCAUCUUAUUUAUCCUUGCAAUAUCCAUUACUGUUUUUCCAUGGGGAGGAUGGAUUUCGUCUGGGUAUUGCAACAUUAGAUUCUAUCUCUACAAGGUCUACAAAGAAAAACAAAACAGCACUUUGCGACAAUUCUUUGCUUUUCGCCUACAGUAAAGGAUGGGUGAAUCGCCGUUAAUUUUGAGAUCAAAGAGAUUAUUCCAACAAUUUUUGGUGGAUGCCUACACAAUUAUGAAAUCAGAGAUGUUAAAAUUCUUCAGGUGUAAACAACCAAAGUUGAGGGUUUGAUAAAUACAAAUGUUUACAUGAGAGUCUUAUAAACGGGGAUGUAAAUGUUGCUAGGCUUGGCAAAAGAAUCAUUAUUCCCAGUACUUUUAUUGAUGGACCUAGGUACAUGAUGAAUAAUUUUAAAGAUGCACUUGCAAUUUGUAAAUAUACAGAAUAUCCUAACUAUUUUAUCACUAUGACCUGCAACCUUAAAUGGGAUGAGAUAAAGAGAAAAUUGACUCCUAUUAGAUUGAAGGUAAAAUACCGCCCCAAUAUAUUGUAUUGAGUUUUCAAAAUCAAGAUUGACGGUUUGAUUAAGGACCUAAAAGAGGAAAAAAUAUUUGACAAAAUUAUGGUAUGUAAGUCUGUGUUUAUGCAACACCUUAUUAAAAUCUUAUGCUGUAGAUAAUGUUUUAGUCAUUUGUCUUUUCAAUUUUCAAAUGUUUGUACUAUAAAGUUUUAAAAGAGAGCGCUUCCACAUGCACAUAUUCUUUUAUUUAUGAGUAAUGAGUUCAAGCCACAAACACUAGAAAAUGAAAGGCCAAAUUUACAUGGAACUAUUCAAAACUACAUGGUACAUGGUCCAUGUGGGCCAUACAAUAAGAAUUCACCUUGCAUAAAGAAUGGAUCCUAUUUAAAGUUUUAUCUCAAAGAAUUCAGACAAUAAACACUCAUUGACGAAGCUAGGUUUCUUAAAUAUAGGCGUACCAAUAACGGUCGAACUGUGACAAAAAAGAAAUGUGUACUAGAUAAUAAGUUUAUUAGUCCAUAUAAUCCAGAAUUGUUGCUCAAGUUCGGGUGCCACAUAAAUGUGAAAUACACAUGCCAAAUAAGUUAUAUCAAGUAUUUGUUUAAAUAUGUACACAAGGACAAUAAUCGUGUAACAGCUAAUCUAUACAAUGCUGGUGAUUAAUCAGAAACCACACAAGUUGUCGAUAAAAUUAGGAAUUAUUAUGAUUGUAGGUACAUUUUGGCAUGUGAGGCAGCCUAGUAUAUAUUUGGAUACAAAAUUCAAGAGAAAGAAUCAUUUAUGAUUAGACUUCCAUUUCAUUUGGAGGAUGAACAAUCCGUAGUUUAUAAUGAAACUUCUAAUAAGAAUGAUAUUGUUGAAAUAGUAGUAUCUCAUAAGUUUGUAUUUUUGAGAUGGAUGGCGACAAACAUAUCAUAUCUUUAUUCUCAAAAUUUGACUUAUGCUGAGUUUUCAACCAAAUUUGUUUGUAAGGACGAUGCUUCAAAUUAGUUUUUUCAAAAACAAGGCUUUGUAAUUGAAAAGUUGACUCAUGUGCUUGCAUAUAGUGAUGAAUUUAUAUUCAAUUUUAUUCUUAUUUAUUUGAUGAUUGAAAUUUGAAAGAUAAGGAUUUGAUUAUAUAUUUUUAUUUCAUUGAAAAUAAAUUUAAGUGUUUUAGUAAAAACACAAAAGCGUACAUUCUAUUAAAAUAUUAUUUCUAUACGAGUGAAUUAUCGUCUUAAUCUUUUAAAAGAAAUAAUUUAUUGAUAAAAUAGUCUUGAAAAAUCGGCAAUAAUUUUCAUGAAAAUAAUUUACUAGAAAAAUAAAUGUUAAAUAGUUGAUUAUCAUGAAAUCUAAUUUAAUCGUAAAUUUGUAAUUUGUAAUUGAAUCUAUUUCUACACCUUAAUUUGGAAUAGGUGUUAGAGAAGAAAUUUAGAGAGUGAAAACUUGAGUCAUCGAAAACAAAACAAAACUUCCCAAGAACAUACAAACAGAUGCAGAAGAAACAAAAAAAGAUUGGUACCAUCUAUGACUCUUUAUUUCUAUAUGAAUUCUUUUUUUUUUAUUUCCAAUUUUUCUUACGUGAGUUUUUUUUUUUAAUAUCAAACUUUACUUUUCAAACAAAAAAAUAAAUUUGAAGAAAGAGAAAAAAUGUAUCAAAUUUAUCGUUUAAAGAUAAUACAUAAAAGAAAUUUUAAAAAAAAAACCUUAAAAAGUGAUUAUUUAAUCUAUCCAAACCAACUAUUUAUAUAAAAUAAAAUAAACUGGAUUUCUUUAUUAAACCAAUCUCAGAGACCAUUUUAGAGUUUAACUCAGUAUUUAUAUUAUAUUUAUAAAAUUAUUUAAGACAAUGAAUGAACUAUAGCUCAAAUGCUAUUUGUUCUCCUUUCCUCUGUAGAGGUCUCUAUUUCUAGUCUCUCUUGAUGUACGAAAAAGAAAAAGAAAAAAACCUAUUCAUUUAUCAUUUUGAAUAAUCCUAUGUUUGUUAUAAUUUUACAUAUUUACUAAUUAAAAGGAUGGAUUAAUACAACAGUAAUGCUUAAUGUUUCUAGCAGCCUGCGAAAGUGACCAGAAAACUUCAUUAAUAUAUAUAUAUUAAUGUAAAAUUAACUUUUAACUAAUAAUUCAGUGAAGUUACAAGUGCAUAAAAAACGAAAAAUCUAGGAAUACAGGUCAAUUUUGGCUUAUGAAGGAAACUUGAUGUUUCAAGGAGAAAUGAAUGACUAUAUAUAUUGCUUUUGCAUAGCAUGAUUCUAUAAUCUCUGUCUAUAAAAAUCUAAUAUACAUGCAAAGCGAAAAAAAAUGAAUAGAAUAGGAGUCAUUUUGUUAAUAUGCGGCGGUCACAGCGUCUACUACAUCGUCUGACUCAUCAACUAUCAUUUCGUUUCUGAAAAGCAAUUUCAAAUAUGGAAGAACCUUUGGAAGAACGGGCAAAUCUGCCACAUUCACACUCAUCAUGUCAAAUGCAACACACGUUUUAUGCAUGUUUGCUUCAUCCAACACAGGUAUUUUAGGAUAUCUUUGGCUGAAAUGAGUUAAAAUGAUUCGGUAUGCAUCAGCGGAGUUUCCCAUUUCUAUGGCUUCAUUUGUGGUGCUGUGGUUUUUUGCUAUAGCCUCCUCUACCAUAGCUUCCUCAAAAGUUGCCUGCAUCAAUUCUCAAACAAGUUAAAACAAGUCUCACUUUGAUGGCAUUAAGAUGCAGAUAACAUUAAUCAAUUUAUAGGAAGACUUGCCUCGUGUAUAAGAACUGUUGCGUCUCGAGAUGCUUCUACCAACUCUGGACAGGGCCUUGUGUCGCCAGAAUAUACAACCUUCCAGCCAGGUAUCACUUUUCCCGCAGUACUAGUCCUCUCUGCUGCUUUUAGAACAACACCAAAUGCCUGUGGGCAAUGUACAACAGGGAAACUAACCAAGGACUUCAGACCAGCUUCCUGGAUUACCCCCCUAAAUCUCUCUAGGAUAGGAGAAACGGCAUCUUUGUCAACAGGACUGCCUGGUCUUUUCCAUAAACUUUGCAUACGAGACCCUUUGGCAAACAAAGUUGAAUCAACUUUUGAUGCGGAUACUUCUCUAUUAUUAUUGUUCAGGUCACAGCCAUCCUCAAAAGCAUCCAAUGAAGCUGCUGUGGUGUGCUUGCAAUCUAAAAACAGCAUAUCCAAAUCUUCGAGUCUUUGGUAAGCAUCUAAAUAUCUCUUGAGCUGCCUUGGCCCUACGACAAGAACUGGUUCAUGAGGCACCCCCUUCAGCAAUUCACGGCGCAGAGCAAGGAUCCUAGCCAAGCCAGUGUGGUGAUCAGCAUGGAUAUGUGAAAUCCAAAUGCAUCUUAAAGCUCUCACAACAUCAUCAGCACCACUUACACCAUAUCUGUUUCCAAAGGAUGUGUUAAAUAACUAUUCACAUUAAAAUCGCAAAAAAUGCAGUAAAGUGAAAAUGUGUUUAAAGAAUACAGAUGGACAUGCCUUCUUUUGAGUUGUCCCAAGGUUCCUUCACCACAAUCCAAGAGCAAACCUCCUUUUGAGAAAAGAUUUAUAUAUAUUGAACUCACGUUUCUGUACUUGGAUGGUUGGGAUGAACCAGUUCCAAGAAGAACUAUCUCCAAGUCAUCUCUCCUUAUAUUUUCCAAACACGAAGGAACAGUAGAAUCACACAACCAAGGUUCCUCAAUCAUCAUAUUUCGAUCUGCUGCGGGAACUAAAUCCUCCUUUGUCUGAUUAGCUUGUUGCCAGAGCUGACUUACAUGAUGAGCUGCUUCCACGACCUCUGGAAUCUCUGAGAGUAACUCAUCAAUGAUUUGCGUGGAAGUCACCGUGGUUGGAGUACCGGAUCUAUCCAACCCAAGACGAGCAUAAGGACGCAAUGUAAACUGCAUAACACAGUUAAUAUGUUUAUAAGUAUACAAAUAUUGCGGAGUCAGACUAUAAAAGCUUUGUACAAAGACUUCUGCAAGAACAAAGAAAUUAACAGCAGGGCCGAGUCAGAUUUUGAUACCUUGAGAAGAUUUUCAGCAGAAAUGACUUUAGAAGAUUCAGAAAAGGAACCCUGCAAAAAACACAAAUCAAUCCCCCAGAUUAGACUAAUUUAUGUGUUAAAUACAGUAUAAGUUCCCCUUCUAGCAUUGUUACAAACCUCACUUGAAGCAAGAGCACUUGAAAGAGAUGAAAAUCCUGGGGCUGGAAAGAACUGAGGACAAACAUAAUUAAGUCGAGAUGCAAUUCUUGCACUAGCUUUCAAGAUAGGAAUCUCUACAUUCUUCCUGAGAACAAUAGAAACAAGAGUAAUAAAUAAUGUGUUGUAGCAGAAACAAAAAAGGAGGAAUUGCCAGAAAAACUAGCAACUUACUUUUCAUGCCCAGCCAUGAUAUGCUGUGCAGAACCAAAUUUCUUCAUCCACUUCUGGUAAUCUGAAGAACUUACAACAGAAGCAGGACUUAAGUGAAUCACACACGUNNNNNNNNNNNNNNNNNNNNNNNNNNNNNNNNNNNNNNNNNNNNNNNAGUGAUUGUGCAGAAAAUAACGAUUCCAAAUGAGAUUUUGUUGGACAAUCAACAAGGAGUACAAUGGGACCAGGAACAGAAGGACCCAAGACAUCACUUGGAUGAACCUAUUGUGUCACACAAAUGGUUACGUUAAUAAGUAUGGGUGCCAGGUAUUAAUUAAAAUUAACUAUAGCAAACUAGAUGGUGAUUGCAAUAUCAGCGCAGAUUCCAUAAAUUACCGUAAUAUUCAGGCGAUCUGAUUGCACUGAAUUUCCAAAUUGCAAUUCACGAUACUUUGGCCCAGGUUUCAAACCUAGGGCCUUUGCUUUAUCUUGAUCAAAUUUUCCCUUGAUCUCAGGCAGUUCGCAAAUAUAUACUACAGACAUAUCACCAGGCUUCGCAGCAGCCUGGUUUUUCCCGUUGGGUGAGUUAAGGGUCUCUGAAGGUGUCAUCGGGUGAUGUGGUCGCAGGAUGAUGGCAGAUAUUUUGACCACCUCGUUUUCAAUGAGAACAAUGGGAUUGUCCAAUAGCUUACAUCCAGUAAGCACAGUGGUAUCAUCGGUGCCGCCAAAGCUCUUUGUGUGAACCAUGGCAGCAUUGGGAAUAAAUGAUCUCAUGGCAUCUACUAAAAACUUAAGAUCUGAAGGGCCCCAUAUCUUGACCUACAAAUCACAUGAAGCUAUCAAUCACUACAACAGACUAUGCAUUACACAGUUGAACAAUAACACGAAGUUAAUCCGUCACUUACACACAUCCCCUCUUCUCCCAUUCCGGCCAGUGUAAGCAGCAAACCUGUGAGUCGAAGACUGAUAUGUAUCAACAUUCUAGUAAUCCAAUCUAAAUAUCAACUUCUACUCUUCUAGUAUCAGUAACUUAGCAAUGAAGCAAUGCUAUCUUCUGCAAUACUUGCAUGUAAACCCACAAGAUUCUUAAAAAUUGAAGACAAACCUGGAAGGCCACCGGCGGUUUCUGAACAAACACGAGUUAGAAAUAUGUGAUCAAUCUGCAAAAAGGUAAGUACAUUUCGUGAGCUGAUAACUAGUGAUGACAAAGAUAAGAACUUGAAAUUCAAAUUCAAACCUUGGAUAACUUAAUUUUAUGCUCAGUGCAAAAUCGUUGUAGUCCCUGAAACAAGCAAGAGAGGUUGAGAAAAUGCAGAGAGAGAUAAGAAAUGAGAGAAUGAGAAGGAAGAGUGACCUCUCCAGCAUUGAAUAUAAAACGUUGUUUAUCGAAGAAGAGGUAGACGGAAGGAGAAGUAUCCUGAGUAUCCAUGCCAGUUCCGAGUAUCUGAAGAUAAGCUAUGGUGUUAACUGGAUUGACCUUGCGAUGCUUUAAUUGGAGGUCCUUCUUGGGAGCGUCGCUGUUGUCUCUUCCCUCUGCUCUGCGCUUGUUGAAGCCAGCAGAAGAAGCGUUCUUGUCGAGUUCCAUUGGGUGAGUGGUUCUUCCUCUGCCACCGCGGGUGUUGCUGUUGUUUCUGCGGGUAAGAUGGAGAGGGGCGUUACGGUGUCGUCUCGGAGAAGAAGAGGAAGCGAUAACCGUCGAGAAGAUGGAUCGGAAGUGGAGGGUGGAGGGUUUGGAGAGAAAGAGCCGAAAAUUUGAGAGUUGGGCCAUUCCCCUCUCUCAUUCCACCCUCUUUUUAUUUCAAGGGUUUAAGCAUUUGCCCACUUUCUUUCUUUCUCUGCACCCAAAUCCCAAAGGGAUAAUAAAAACUAGUUUUCAGUAGUUACUUUAUAUUUUUUGNUGACUGGUUUAAUAAUUAAUAUUUUAUAUACACAUAAGAUCAUGCUAUUUUUAUUAGACUUAAAUCUUACUAUUUUAUUUUAAGAUUAAUUAAAGCAUUAAAGGAGUUAUAUUUUUACUAGUUGAGUAUAUUAAAUGACUACCAAUUGAGCUACCAACCGAGCUGGAGUAGCUCAGUUGGUUAGAGCGUGUGGCUGUUAACCACAAGGUCGAAGGUUCAAGCCCUUCCUCUAGCGUUUUGGGUCAUGCAUUUUUUGUUUUCUCUUGAAACAACCACCUAGGUAGAGAGUUGAAGAUAAUGUAUUAUCCUUGCACUGAAAAUGAGAUAAGAUCAUCAUCACAAGAACAACCACAUAUACAUACUACAUCCCACUGAAAAACCUCAAAAAAAUCAUGUCACUCCUCCAACUCAACUCCUCUCAUGGCUUAUGCUCUCUCUCACCCUAUUCCCAUAACAACUUGAGAAGAAGCUUCAUUAUUCCUAUUCAUUCAUCUAAUAAGAACCACACCUUUGCAACAAGAAGAGUAGUUGUUAGAGCCAUCAGCACUGUCCCUGACACAAACACAGACACAGACAAAAACACCACUCAACCCUCCCAAGCUCCUCCCUCUGUUGGCUUCGCAUUCAUACAUGUAUAUCUUAUCUUGCCAUAACUAAUAUCUUAAAUGCAUUUAUAGUUACAUGUCUUUAACUUAAUUUAUGGUGUUGUUCUUGUUAACUUCAGCCUGUGUUGCUACCUGAUGGAACACCAGACAUUCAUUAUCGUACUGCUUGUGGUGGCCAGAAGCUUAGGGACAUAAUGCUUGAUUCCAAUCUUGAUCUCUAUGGACCCUAUGUAUGUAACACACUAACACACACCCUCCUUCUUCUACAAUCAUGUUCUUUUGUUUUGCUUCUAACUAACAACUACUUUGAUUAUUCUCUUAUAGGGUAGACCUUUGUUGAAUUGUGCUGGGGGUGGAAGUUGUGCCACUUGUAUGGUCGAGGUGAAUUUCAUUUCUGUAUAAUGUUACCACAACAUUUAGCAUAUUGUCCACUAAUGUUCACUGAUAUGUACUAUUUUGCAAUUGGUGUUAGGUUCUUGAAGAUGGGGGGCUUCUUAAUCCACGCACUGAUAAAGAGAAAGAGCAUCUCAAGAGGGUGAGUGAAUGUGAAUCAUUGCUUUUGAUACUUAGUCUUUGAACUGGACUCUGCUAAUAACAUUUUCUAUGUUGGUGUUUUUCAUUCUGUCAGAAACCAAAGAAUUGGAGAUUAGCAUGUCAAAUAACUGUUGGUAAACCAGAUUCAACAGGCGCGGUUCGUCAAUUCUAAACUCUUUGGAUCAUCACUUUAUUUUUAUGUGGAACUAUAUAGUAUAGUAUAGUAUAUAUUGAUUGAUUUUUGGUUUCAUUUUAACUUAAUGCAGCUUGUGAUCCAACAACUACCAGAGUGGAAAGGCCAUGAAUUUAAGUAUCAAAACCGUGAAGAUGAUUCAGAGGAUUCUUAAGGAGGCUUUUGUUGUUGUACUCAAAAGUAAAUAGAAAAUGAAGUAGUCUUCAUGAUGCAUUUUUUUGUUCUUGGUUUCUUGCAAUCUGCAAAAUGAUGAAGAAAAUCUUGGAACCUGUAAUUAGGAGUUAAAUUCUAUCUUCUAGAGGCAGGCACUUCAAGAGAUGGGAGAAAAAAAAGAAUGAGAAACAUAGCAUACAAUAUACAUCAUAAUGUCAAUUCCAUACAGUGAUGAAAGAAAUCAGGAUAAACGAUUUAUUAAUCAAUAUAUGAAACAAAAAGAAGUAAAACAUAUCUAUUAAAUAACUGAGUAGUUUAUCUUCUCUUUACUCAAACAUUUUUAACUGGAGAUAACUCCACCUUAUCUGCUAAAAAUUUUGUGGAUAAUUGGAUAUUUUUGCAAGGAAAAGAUAGCCCUCUUGUUAUAUCAAGUGCAAUUAUUAUUCUAAGUUUAGGAAACACAAAUUGUACAUCAACAUCAACAUCAAAGCUUUAAUUUUAUGAAGACAAAGGAACUUUGGUGCUAAAUUGUGAUCAAAAUAGAGCAUUGCUACUACAGUGUAUAGAAGCAGUGAAGUUAGUUUGAUAUUUUUGCAGCCUUAUCUUUCAAAUGUGGUAGAGGGUCCCCAUAGAGCAUAGGGUCCACUCUACCUAAAUGUUUUUAAUGGAUGUGACCAUUUUCUUGUUUUCAUUUGUCUUGUUAUGUAUUGCUUGGACCCUUGCCAUUGAAACUAUUUCAACAUCAAUAAUUCUUGCUUGCUGUACUGCACUAUCACCCUUUUGGCAUAUACCUUAUUCAUUCCAUUUGAAGCUUUUGCAUUAAUUAAGAGAUUAUCUUCUUUAAUUAGGAUUCUUAGUAUCUUCUUUUCUAACCACUCUUCAUAUUUGGACAGCACAAAAUGACAAACCUAAAGGUGUUAUGACUAUUGUUAUUAUUUUUUAUAUGUCUAAUGCUUUCUCAUUUGAAAUUCUCAUAAUUUACAGCCUAAAAUAUCUCUGAAUCAUAAACUUGUGUUCAAUUUAUUUCUAGAUGCCAAUAAUGGCAGGCUAAUCCCCCUAGUAACAAAGUAAUAGCAACCCAACAAAGAAAAAAGAAAUAAACACCAGAGAUGAAUAAUUAAACACUACUGAUCCACUGCACAUAUCAAUAAUCUCUUGAAUUCUCUUACAUGCCAAGCUGAAAAAGCCAAAGGAUAAAUCAGAUAAGAAAAGAAAGAAAGAAAAACAAGAUUUGCUUUUCCUCCUUUAUUACAGAGGAACUUGAAUUACAAAGGCAAUAAUCUCCAAGACAUCAUCAAAAAUCACUGGCCAAUGGAGCAUGCUCAGUAGGCAUGUAAAAAAAGCUAUAGACAAGACCAGCCACAGCACCACCAAUAAGUGGUCCAACCCAGUAGAUCCAGUGAUUAGUGAAGUCUCCACUGAUAACAGCAGGUCCAAAGGAGCGUGCCGGGUUCAUGGAGCCGCCAGAGAAUGCCCCUGCAGCCAAGAUGUUGGCACCUACAAUGAAACCAAUGGCAAUGGGUGCAAUUGUUCCCAGUGAACCCUUCUUUGGAUCAGCUGCUGUUGCAUACACAGUGUACACCAAUCCAAAUGUGAUUAUAAUCUCAGUAACAACUCCUUCUCCUGCUCCAACUCCAGCUCCAACAUUGUGGAUUGGAAUUGUCUGAACACAAAAAUCACUGCCAUUUAGUUUCUCUUAGCUUAAGAAUGUAUCACAGUUAAUCUCUUAUAUCAAUAGGAUCUGGUCUUAACCAUCAAAGACUUAAAUUACAAGGGGUCCUACACCAAUUAUGUGCACUAAUCAUG
rnacentral:lncRNA from 1 species